CGGCGGCGCGCGCCUACGACGUUGCCUCGCUCAGGUACCGCGGCGGCGACGCCGCCUUCAACUUCCCGUGCGUGGUGGUGGAGGCGGAGCUCGCCUUCCUGGCGGCGCACUCCAAGGCUGAGAUCGUUGACAUGCUCCGGAAGCAGACCUACGCCGAUGAACUCCGCCAGGGACUACGGCGCGGCCGUGGCAUGGGGGUGCGCGCGCAGCCGAUGCCGUCGUGGGCGCGGGUUCCCCUUUUCGAGAAGGCUGUGACCCCUAGCGAUGUCGGCAAGCUCAAUCGCCUGGUGGUGCCGAAGCAGCACGCCGAGAAGCACUUCCCCCUGAAGUGCACCGCAGAGACGACGACCACCACCGGCAACGGCGUGCUGCUAAACUUCGAGGAUGGUGAGGGGAAGGUGUGGAGGUUCCGGUACUCGUAUUGGAACAGUAGCCAGAGCUACGUGCUCACCAAAGGCUGGAGCAGCUUCGUCCGGGAGAAGGGCCUCGGCGCAGGCGACUCCAUCGUCUUCUCCUCCUCGGCGUACGGGCAGGAGAAGCAGUUAUUCAUCAACUGCAAAAAGAACACGACUAUGAACGGCGGCAAAACAGCGUUGCCGCUGCCAGUGGUGGAGACUGCCAAAGGAGAACAAGACCACGUCGUUAAGUUGUUCGGUGUUGACAUCGCCGGUGUGAAGAGGGUGCGAGCGGCGACGGGGGAGCUAGGCCCGCCGGAGUUGUUCAAGAGACAAUCCGUGGCACACGGUCAGCACUCUCCUUCCCUAGGUGUCUUCGCCUUAUAGCAUCUGCACAUACACCUACAUAUAUUCUUCUCCUCCCUUAUAUCUUGAUCCUGUUGGUGGAUUAGAUAAAUCUGUAUAGAACUCAGUUUCAAGUCGGAUUGCAAAGUGAGUUGUAGUAUAUGUAAUUAUGUGUGUGCACAAUUAGGAAUUCUAGCUAUAGAGAUCAUAAUAAUCCUACGAUUGUUUGUUGCACAUCUAUGUAUGUACUAUCAUUUGGCACAUCAAAAACUUCCAUUCUGCCAUCACAUCAAGAGAUCUGUUUCUGUAAGUUUCGAUGAAAUUUUGUUCAUUGCAUAAUAUAUUGGCAUUGCUACACCAAUUGAUAUCCGCUCAGCAACUAUAUAAGCAAGCAGUUAGAAAUGUUUAUUAAACCAGUAUUUUACAACAUGCAUGCAUGAAAAAAUUGGGCGCUGAAUUGCUUCCCUGCCUUGGAUUGUGUUACAGUUGAUUUUAAUUAGUUCAGUCACAUGACUAGAUUUAUCAUUGUCAUAUUCCCACCGAUGUCUAAUAUCCAAGAGUUAUGCAUAUGCUUCAAAAGAUGUUAUGUGAACUAAUGAUUUUCUAUAAAUGGUCUUCAUACAAAUAGCAUUUUCAGUCAGAAACUUGAACAAAAUGCGUAACUAUAUAUCCCUUUCUAGGAUGCGGAAGGAUGAACUACAUUUGCUACUCCAUAGGGACAAUAGGACCUCUUAUGCUCAACUGAGUAGUAGGGUGACCAGGUUCUUGUAAAUAUUUGUCUUUAACUAACCCAUUAGUCAUCAGCAUGUCUUUCUAUUAAUAUUUUCAGUAGGUAAUACACCUACUGUUUCCCAUCAAAAAAGGGCAUAGUGUAUCCGAUAUAUAUCAGUUACGUUUGUAGCUCGGCCUCCAUGGAAGCCGAAAUUUUUGAAGAAUUCAAAAUUCAAACUUUUCGGUUUCAAAAAAAAUCUGAAAAAAHUAUGGAAGUAAAGAAGGAUGUUAUGUGUAUGUGUGCAAAAAUUUAGGAUGAAAUACCUUGAAUUACAAUCUGCACAAAAARGACAAAUUCAUGACCUGAAAUGAUGAAUAGUGUUAUGUGUAAAAAGCUUCAGAUUUGUCUUUUUGCACAGCCCUCAUUUCAGUGUAUUUUUCUGAAAAUUUACACACAUGUGUGUUACGCCUUCACUUAUCCCUGUAUUUAUUUCAGAAUUUUUNNNNNNNNNNNNNNNNNNNNNNNNNNNNNNNNNNNNNNNNNNNNNNNNNNNNNNNNNNNNNNNNNNNNNNNNNNNNNNNNNNNNNNNNNNNNNNNNNNNNAUUAUGCCAAUUUUACUGUAGCCAGAAUGUUCUACUAGUUACAUGCAUCAAGUACAUUGGAUCAUAAAUCAAUACAUCAACAUCCAAGUUGCUAAAAUAAUAUCUAGCUCCCACUUGCUACACGGCAGAAAACCAAAAAUUUGGAGCUUUUGGAGGGUGCAAACAUGAAAAUAUCCACCAUCACUUCAAAUUAACCAAAAAUUAGAUUAUGUCCAAGAACAUUAGUCCACUUCCGCACAUACGUGUAUACAUGUAGACGCACCCCUACAAAUCCAUAUCUACAAAUAUACGCCAUCACUUGUGUAGGACUACACACAUCCCACAGCUACCACCUCAUCAUCGUCUAGCCCUAGCUAGAGCAGCAACUCAUCUUAAUCUGUAAACACACAUACACACACAAAAAUACCUCUAUAUGUAGCUAACUUAGCUCAGCUAGUAUCGGUUACCCGCUAGCAUCACAGCCCACACAAGCGCACAUACACACACUCCAAAGAAAACACACGCGCCAAGAAAACAAAGAAAAUCAACAAGCCAUGGGGAUGGAAAUCCUGAGCUCCACGGUGGAGCACUGCUCCCAGUACUCUUCCAGCGCGUCCACGGCCACAACGGAGUCAGGCGCCGCCGGAAGAUCGACGACGGCUCUGAGCCUACCAGUUGCCAUCACCGACGAGUCCGUUACCUCGCGGUCGGCAUCGGCGCAGCCGGCGUCAUCACGGUUCAAGGGCGUGGUGCCGCAGCCCAACGGGCGGUGGGGCUCCCAGAUCUACGAGCGCCACGCUCGCGUCUGGCUCGGCACSUUCCCRGAYCAGGACUCGGCGGCGCGYGCCUACGACGUUGCCUCGCUCAGGUACCGCGGCGGCGACGCCGCCUUCAACUUCCCGUGCGUGGUGGUGGAGGCGGAGCUCGCCUUCCUGGCGGCGCACUCCAAGGCUGAGAUCGUUGACAUGCUCCGGAAGCAGACCUACGCCGAUGAACUCCGCCAGGGACUACGGCGCGGCCGUGGCAUGGGGGUGCGCGCGCAGCCGAUGCCGUCGUGGGCGCGGGUUCCCCUUUUCGAGAAGGCCGUGACCCCUAGCGAUGUCGGCAAGCUCAAUCGCCUGGUGGUGCCGAAGCAGCACGCCGAGAAGCACUUCCCCCUGAAGCGCAGCCCGGAGACGACGACCACCACCGGCAACGGCGUACUGCUCAACUUUGAGGACGGCCAGGGAAAAAGUGUGGAGGUUCCGGUACUCAUAUUGGAACAGCAGCCAGAGCUACGUGCUCACCAAAGGCUGGAGCCGCUUCGUCCGGGAGAAGGGCCUCGGCGCCGGUGACUCCAUCAUGUUCUCCUGCUCGGCGUACGGGCAGGAGAAGCAGUUCUUCAUCGACUGCAAGAAGAACACGACCGUGAACGGAGGCAAAUCGGCGUCGCCGCUGCAGGUGAUGGAGAUUGNNNNNNNNNNNNNNNNNNNNNNNNNNNNNNNNNNNNNNNNNNNNNNNNNNNNNNNNNNNNNNNNNNNNNNNNNNNNNNNNNNNNNNNNNNNNNNNNNNNNAUCUGAUCAAGUUACUACAAGCCUCGUAGGUUGACAAGGUCGCGUACUACUACAGAGUGGUACGGUAACCAUGUCUUGGAGGUCAUGUUGUUGAGCAACAGUGAACCUACGAGUUAUGGAGAAAGCGAUGGUGGGCCCAGAUUCCGACAAAUGGCUGGAAGCCAUGAAAUCCGAGAGAGGAUCCAUGUAUGAAAACAAAGUGUAGACUUUGGAAGAAUUACUUGAUGGUCAUAGGAUUAUUGAGUAAAAUGGAUCUUUAAAAGGAAAAGAGACGAUGAUGGUGAUAAGUCACUAUUGAGAAAAGCUCGACUUGUCACAAAGAUGUUUUCGACAAGAUUAAACAGUUGGCUAUGAUGAGACUUUCUCACUCGUAGCGAUGCUAAAGGUCUGUUAGAAUUAUGUUAGUUGUUGAUGCAUUAUUUAUGAAAUAUUGCACGUAGGAUGUCAAAACAUUGUUUUCUCGACGGUUUCCUUGAGCAAACAUUGUAUGAGAUACAACCAGGAGGUUUUGUCGAUCCUAAGGAUACUAACAAGUAUGCAAGCUCCAGUGAUCCUUCAAUGGACUGGUGCAAGCAUCUCGGAGUUGGAAUAUACACUUUGAUGAGAUGAUCAAAGAUUUUGGGUUUGUACAAGGUUUAUGAGAAACUUGUAUUUCCAAAGAAGUGAGUGGGAGCACUAUAGAAUUUCUGAUAGGUAUAUGUGGUUGACAUAUUGUGGAUCAGAAGUAAUGUAGAAUUUCUGUAAAGCAUACAAGGUUGUUUGAAAGAAGUUUUCAAAGGAGUACCUGGAUUACGCUACUUGAACGUUGAGCAUCAAAGAUCCAUGGAGAUAGAUCGAAAGCGCUUAAUAGAAGUUUCAACAACGAUCGCAUGCCUUGACUAAGUUUUUGAAAGUAGUUACAAAAUAGACCAGCAAAGAAGUAGUUCUUGGUUGCGUUGUGAGGUGUGAAUUUGAGUAAGACNNNNNNNNNNNNNNNNNNNNNNNNNNNNNNNNNNNNNNNNNNNNNNNNNNNNNNNNNNNNNNNNNNNNNNNNNNNNNNNNNNNNNNNNNNNNNNNNNNNNUCACUUAGGUUUAUGUUAAUCUCUAAAAAAAAUUGCAGGCUAUGAGUUAUUUAACAAUUUGACCAUAUUGUUUUCUACCUAUAAUUUUUUUCUUGWAGGGGAAAAGAUUGAAAAUUAUCUAAGCUUGCAUGGAUGGAAAUAAGAAGUAUACUCCCUCCGUAAAGAAAUAUAAGAGCGUUUAGAUCACUAAAAUAAUGAUCUAAACACUCUUAUAUUUCUUUACAGAGGGAGUAAUAUAUUUGAUUUGAAUUGCUUGCUGGUCUUGGAUUGUGUUAUAAUUGAGUUGAUUAGUUCACCCACAUAGACAAAAUUCUCCUAUUUGUGGUCUAAUGUUUACCAAAGAAGUAAUACACAUCCAGCAGAAUCCAUAUAUAUAUAUGAUCUACAUGCAAAUAACAUUCUCUAUCAGAAACUAGAAGAAAAAGGGCCGUAUCACUUUCAAGGAUGCAGAAGGAAUUUUCAAGGAUGAAUUAGAUUUGCUAGUCCGUAGAGCCAAGAGGACCUCUUCUGAUGUUUCACAUUAACUGACCCACUAAUCAACUGCACUAUAUUUCGACUUUUUAUUAAUACAUAAUUGGAGUAGGUAAUUCACCUACUGUUUUCCCCAUCAAGAAAAGGGUAGUAUCCUAGCUAUAUCAGUUACUCCAAUGCGGAAACGUUCAUCAAAAUUGCUUAAUUUUCAAAUAGAGUGCUUCACAUUAAUAUGUGCAAGUUUCUGCCUCUGANNNNNNNNNNNNNNNNNNNNNNNNNNNNNNNNNNNNNNNNNNNNNNNNNNNNNNNNNNNNNNNNNNNNNNNNNNNNNNNNNNNNNNNNNNNNNNNNNNNNGCCUUGGGGCUCAAGGAGCCCCAAGGGGGUCGGCCGAGUCCAAGGGGGGAGGACUCCCCCCAAACCGAGUUGGACUUGGUUUGGUGGGAGGGAGUCCCCCUUCUUCCCACCUCCUCCUUUUUUUUCUUUUCUCUUUGAUUUUUCUCUUCUUGGCACAUAGAGCCCUUUUUGGGGCUGUCCCACCAGCCCACUAAGGGCUGGUGUGCCACCCUCAAGGCCUAUGGGCUUCCCCGGGGUGGGUUGCCCCCCCGGUGAACUCCCGGAACCCAUUCGUCAUUCCCGGUACAUUCCCGGUAACUCCGAAAACCUUCCGGUAAUCAAAUGAGGUCAUCCUAUAUAUCAAUMUUYGUUUCCGGACYAUUCCGGAAACCCUCGUGACRUCCGUGAUCUCAUCCGGGACUCCGAACAACAUUCGGUAACCAACCAUAUAACUCAAAUACGCAUAAAACAACGUCGAACCUUAAGUGUGCAGACCCUGCGGGUUCGAGAACUAUGUAGACAUGACCCGAGAGACUCCUCGGUCAAUAUCCAAUCGCGGGACCUGGAUGCCCAUAUUGGAUCCUACAUAUUCUACGAAGAUCUUUAUCGUUUGAACCUCAGUGCCAAGGAUUCGUAUAAUCCCGUAUGUCAUUCCCUUUGUCCUUCGGUAUGUUACUUGCCCGAGAUUCGAUCAUCAGUAUCCGCAUACCUAUUUCAAUCUCGUUUACCGGCAAGUCUCUUUACUCGUUCUGUAAUACAAGAUCCCGCAACUUACACUAAGUUACAUUGCUUGCAAGGCUUGUGUGUGAUGUUGUAUUACCGAGUGGGCCCCGAGAUACCUCUCCGUCAUACGGAGUGACAAAUCGCAGUCUUGAUCCAUACUAACUCAACUAACACCUUCGGAGAUACCUGUAGAGCAUCUUUAUAGUCACUCAGUUACGUUGCGACGUUUGAUACACACAAAGCAUUCCUCCGGUGUUAGUGAGUUAUAUGAUCUCAUGGUCAUAGGAAUAAAUACUUGACACGCAGAAAACAGUAGCAACAAAAUGACACGAUCAAUAUGCUACGUCUAUUAGUUUGGGUCUAGUCCAUCACAUGAUUCUCCUAAUGAUGUGAUCCCGUUAUCAAGUGACAACACUUGCCUAUGGCCAGGAAACCUUGACCAUCUUUGAUCAACGAGCUAGUCAACUAGAGGCUUACUAGGGACAGUGUUUUGUCUAUGUAUCCACACAAGUAUUGUGUUUCCAAUCAAUACAAUUAUAGCAUGGAUAAUAAACGAUUAUCAUGAACCAAGAAAUAUAAUAAUAACUCAUUUAUUAUUGCCUCUAGGGCAUAUUUCCAACAGUCUCCCACUUGCACUAGAGUCAAUAAUCUAGUUCACAUCACCAUGUGAUUCCAACUAAUCCAACACCCAUAUAGUUAUGGGGUCUGAUCACGUCUUGCUCGUGAGAGAGGUUUUAGUCAACGGUUCUGACACUUUCAGAUCCGUGCAUUCUUUACAAAUAUUUAUGUCAUCUUAUAGAUGCUGCUACUAAGUGCUAUUCGGAAAUGCUCCAAAUAUCUACUCUACUAUACGAAUCCGUUUCACUACUCAUAGUUAUUCAGAUUAGUGUCAAAGCUUGCAUCGACGUAACCCUUUACGAUGAACUCUUUAACCACCUCCAUAAUCGAGAAAAAUUCCUUAGUCCAUUAGUUACUAAGGAUAAGUUUUGACCGCUGCUAGUGAUUCAAUCAUGGAUUACUCUCUGUACCUCUCAACAUACUUUGAGUCAAGGCACACAGUCAGGUGCGGUACACAGCAUGGCAUACUUUAGAUUCUACGGCUAAGGCAUAGAAGACGACCUUCGUCUAUNNNNNNNNNNNNNNNNNNNNNNNNNNNNNNNNNNNNNNNNNNNNNNNNNNNNNNNNNNNNNNNNNNNNNNNNNNNNNNNNNNNNNNNNNNNNNNNNNNNNCCCUCCCUUCCCACUUCCUCCCUCUUUUUUUUCUUUUCCUUUGAUUCUUUAUUCUUGGCGCAUAGGCCCCCUUCGGGGCUGUCCCACCAGCCCACUAAGGGCUGGUGUGUCUCCCCAAACGCCUAUGGGCUUCCCCCGGGGUCGGGGUUGCCCCCCCCCCCCCGGUCCGAACUCCCGGAACCCAUUCGUCAUUCCCGGUACAUUCCCGGUAACUCYGAAAACCUUCCGGUAAUCAAAAUGAGGUCAUCCUAUAUAUCAAUCUUUGUUUCCGGACCAUUCCGGAAACCCUCGUGACAUCCUGAUCUCAUCCGGGACUCCGAACAACAUUCGGUAACCAACCAUAUAACUCAAAUACGCAUAAAACAACGUCGAACCUUAAGUGUGCAGACCCUGCGGGUUCGAGAACUAUGUAGACAUGACCCGAGAGACUCCUCGGUCAAUAUCCAAUAGCGGGACCUGGAUGCCCAUAUUGGAUCCUACAUAUUCUACAAAGAUCUUUAUCGUUUGAACCUCAGUGCCAAGGAUUCGUAUAAUCCCGUAUGUCAUUCCCUUUGUCCUUCGGUAUGUUACUUGCCCGAGAUUCGAUCAUCAGUAUCCGCAUACCUAUUUCAAUCUCGUUUACCGGCAAGUCUCUUUACUCGUUCCGUAAUACAAGAUCCCGCAACUUACACUAAGUUACAUUGCUUGCAAGGCUUGUGUGUGAUGUUGUAUUACCGAGUGGGCCCCGAGAUACCUCUCCGUCAUACGGAGUGACAAAUCCCAGUCUUGAUCCAUACUAACUCAACUAACACCUUCGGAGAUACCUGUAGAGCAUCUUUAUAGUCACCCAGUUACGUUGCGACGUUUGAUACACACAAAGCAUUCUCCGGUGUUAGUGAGUUAUAUGAUCACAUGGUCAUAGGAAUAAAUACUUGACACGCAGAAAACAGUAGCAACAAAAUGACACGAUCAAUAUGCUACGUCUAUUAGUUUGGGUCUAGUCCAUCACAUGAUUCUCCUAAUGAUGUGAUCCCGUUAUCAAGUGACAACACUUGCCUAUGGCCAGGAAACCUUGACCAUCUUUGAUCAACGAGCUAGUCAACUAGAGGCUUACUAGGGACAGUGUUUUGUCUAUGUAUCCAUACAAGUAUUGUGUUUCCAAUCAAUACAAUUAUAGCAUGGAUAAUAAACGAUUAUCAUGAACCAAGAAAUAUAAUAAUAACUAAUUUAUUAUUGCCUCUAGGGCAUAUUUCCAACACGUCGAAGUCCCUGCAGGAGGUUGAUGAAGAGAUGACGAAGCCCCCGAUCUAAUCGAGGUGAUGUAGUAGUCCGGUAAGGUGGCGCUAGAGCCCCCAUGCCAGCCGACGUGUCGAAACAGGUCGGUGUAUUGAAUGUCGUCUUUAAGAAGCGGUGGUGCGGCGAUGCCGACGCAGAUCGCAAUUUAUGACCCGAUCAAUGCUCGCUUGACGAAGUAACGGCGCGCUCGCCCCGUGCAACCCGUGGGCGAAGAGAUUCGCCAGAUAUUAUUCGGCCCUCGCGAUACUGAACUCUUGCUCGGAUCGCCGAGGUGUUGAUACGAUGAGAUUAACCUUGGCUCAUUGAAGCCAUGAUCUGUCNNNNNNNNNNNNNNNNNNNNNNNNNNNNNNNNNNNNNNNNNNNNNNNNNNNNNNNNNNNNNNNNNNNNNNNNNNNNNNNNNNNNNNNNNNNNNNNNNNNNCGUAUUGAACAUCUGGUUAAUCUCGUUGAAUUUCAAAUAUUGUUGUAUUAGACUUAUUUGUAUGCUAUGUAUGAAUGAUUCGUACGAUUUUAUAUCCGAACUUUGAUGUAUUACGUCAGUUUCGCAUGAAUUUCGUCCGGUCUAUUGAAAUCUGGUUUCAAAUGUAUGCGAAUAGCGUUGUAUGGCCGGCUCCCGCAACCGAACCGGGGCUAAAUGCCCUUUUUCUACUAAUAAUCGCCCCCUCCCCUCCCCACCCUCCCCACCAAUCUAUGGACGAAUGCGGGAGUAAACUUGCAGGUUCGUAUUGUAGAUGCCCUAAGUGUACAUAUAUACUAAUAAGCAUGUACACAAGCGCAUGCAAACAAUUCGCACUAAGUACACCACAAAUCUUAUUUGCAGCAAAACAUACGUGUUCAAGCUAGUAAGCACCCCAUAUAUCACCGCUUUCUCAUAUUAAUCGUGGUAUGCGGUCUAAACCGUGAUUCGGAGCACUAAUCGUAGUCGGAAUGGAUCUGAAUUGGACUAGAUAUGGAUCCAUUCAUKRAAUUUUUUUUAGGAGGCAUUGAUUCAAUCCCAGGGGAAAUGGAUGAGCACCANNNNNNNNNNNNNNNNNNNNNNNNNNNNNNNNNNNNNNNNNNNNNNNNNNNNNNNNNNNNNNNNNNNNNNNNNNNNNNNNNNNNNNNNNNNNNNNNNNNNGUCUGUCGCCAUUUUCUCUGUUCUUCUCCUCUCUUGCUCUCUUCUUCCCCUCUCUUCUUCCAUCAUGCCAACUCGCUUCACAGAGGUGCUCGCACAUGGCAACAACAAUCUCGAUGUCGUGUACACGAACGAGAGUAGGGAGGUGCCGCAUUUUCUUAGACAGUAGAAGGAACGGUGUCUUGACGCCGCGGGGGAUCAUGAGAAGUUCUUGGGGCUUGAUCUGGAGUACACGGCCGAUCAACGAGGUGUUGCCGUCAUCCAACUAUGUUUCAAACACCAUGUCUUGAUCUUCCAAUGGGCGAGGUAUGUUUUGAGGCUUUCUUUGAUCCAAGGUUAUGAAAAUUGCAUAUAUAUAGUGAUUUAUUUUGGUUCCAUUGGAUAGCAAUAUGUAGUUUCUAUAUAUGUUCCAUUGGAUAGUUAAUUGAGGGUUUCUUGAUCAAUUCAUAGGAUAUGAAAAUUGCAUAGGAUCGAUAGCAAUAUGUUCCAUUUUGGAAUCCUAUAAAGAUCAAUUUCUCUUUAGUUAUAGUGAAACAAUUUUAUGCGGCGUUCUUUGAUCCAAGGUUAUGAAAAUUGCAUAUAGCUAGUGAUCUCUCUAGGUUCCAUUGGAUAGCAAUAUGGUAUGUCAUAGUUAUGAAAAUUGCAUAUAGCUAGUGAUGUCUCUAGGUUCCAUUGGAUAGCAAUAUGAUAUGUCGUAGUUAUGAUAAUUGCAUAUAGCUAGUGAUCUCUCUAGGUUCCAUUGGAUAGCAAUAUGAUAUGUCAUAGUUAUUGAAAUUGCAUAUAGCUAGUGAUCUCUCAAGGUUCCAUUGGAUAGCUAUAGUGAUCUCUCUAGGUUCCAUUGGAUAGCAAUAAGCAAUAUGUCUAGCUUCUUCCACAUUUGCAAAACCAUGGGAGAAUAUGUUGGAAAUAUGCCCUAGAGGCAAUAAUAAUAUGGUUAUUAUCAUAUUUCCCUGUUCAUGAUAAUUGUCUAUUGUUCAUGCUAUAAUUGUAUUAACACGAAACAGUGAUACAUGUGUGAAUAAAUAGAUCACAAUGUGUCCCUAGCAAGCCUCUAGUUGGCUAGCUCGUUAGUCAAUAUAUGAUCAUGGUUUCCUGAUCAUGGGCAUUAGAUGUCAUUCAUAACGGGAUCACAUCAUUGGGAGAAUGAUGUGAUGGACAAGACCCAAUCCUGAGCCUAGCACUAGAUCGUAUUGUUCGUAUGCUAAUGCUUUUCUAAUGUCAAGUAUCUUUUCCUUCGACCGUGAGAUUGUGCAACUCCCGGAUAUCGUAGGAGUGCUUUGGGUGGAUCAAACGUCACAACGUAACUGGGUGACUAUAAAGGUGCACUACGGGUACCUCCGAAAGUGUCUGUUGGGUUGGUACGAAUCGAGAUCGGGAUUUGUCACUCCGUGUGACAGAGAGGUAUCUCUGGGCCCACUCGGUAGAACAUCAUCAUGAGCUCAAUGUGACUAAGGAGUUAGUCACAUGAUGACGUGCUAUGGAACGAGUAAAGAGACUUGCCAGUAACGAGAUUGAACAAGGUAUAGGUAUACCGACGAUCGAAUCUCGAGCAAGUUCUAUACCGACAAACAAAGGGAAUCCUAUACGGGAUUGAUUGAAUCCUUGACAUCGUGGUUCGUCCGAUGAGAUCAUCGUGGAGCAAGUGGGAGCCACCAUGGGUAUCCAGACCCCGCUGAUGGUUAUUGGCCAGAGAGGUGUCUCGGUCAUGUCUGCCUGUCUCCCGAACCCGUAGGGUCUACACACUUAAGGUUCGAUGACGCUAGGGUUAUAGGGAAUUAUUAUACGAGGUUACUGAAAGUUGUUCGGAGUCCCGGAUGAGAUCCCGGACGUCACGAGGAGCUCCGGAAUGGUCCGGAGGUAAAGAUUGAUAUAUAGGACGGAUGGUUUCGGAUACCGGAAGUGUUUCGGGCAUCACCGGUAACGUACCGGGACCACCGGGACCACCGGAGGUCGGCCCCGGGGGACCACCGAAGGGGGGCAACGACCCCGGGAGGUAAGGUGGGCCAAGUGGGGGUGGGGAACCAGCCCCUAGGUGGGAUGGUGCGCCUCCCCACUCAGCCCAUUGCGCAAGGNNNNNNNNNNNNNNNNNNNNNNNNNNNNNNNNNNNNNNNNNNNNNNNNNNNNNNNNNNNNNNNNNNNNNNNNNNNNNNNNNNNNNNNNNNNNNNNNNNNNGAAACUUAAACUACUGAAAGAUAUGAUCAAUAGGAAUCAGACAUAAAAAAGAAUCAAAUUAAAAUCUAUUUUUAAACUCCCGGAAUAAGCAAAAUAAGCUUUAAUUCAAAUCUGAUCUAAAUCAAUUUUUAUAAACCCAAACAUAGACAAAUUAUAUAUCUGCAGAAACUACAUAAAAUUUGUGAUCCAACGCAAAAAGAAUCACCUAAUUCGGAGUUAUAGACUGAUAGAUAUGAAUUUUCUAAGAUUGCAAUUUUCUAAAAAAACUGCAAUACGGGAUUUGUGAAUCUCACCGGAGUUAGUCGCCAGAGUUGGAGAAGACGACGGGAAGGUGGCUCCGGUGGCCGACCGAGGCAGCGGAGGGGUCCAGGCGGGGGAGGUGGGCUCCGGCCGAAGGUUGGUGGUGCCGGCGGGGCGUAGGGCGACGGGAGGAGGCAGCAUGACCUCCGGCGAGUUCCUGUUGAAGAUGAACUCCGGCGAGGCGGGGGCUGCGGCUAGAGGCGAGGAGAGAUAUGGUUCUUGGGGAAAAUGGAUAGAGGAGGGUGUGGGGGUUCUUAUAGGGGCGAUGGGAGGUGCUGGGAGGGAAAGAGCUUCGCGAAUCCCGGAGGUGGGGAUUCCUGUGUCCAUGGAAGGAAAAAUCUUUGUGACGUGAGAGAGACAAAGGAAGAAGAUGAUCUCCUGUUGGGCUGGAAUAGGAAAGUGCUUAAUGGGCCAGCUCUUAUUUCCAUUUAAAAGUGUAUUCCUUUCCUAUUUUUAAAACUAGGAAACUAAAACGAAUAAAARGRAAACAAAUCAAUUCGGAAUAAAGAGUUUUUUAUAUACUAAAAUUAUCAGAAAAAUAAAAUAUAGAUGAUGGGCUAUUUUCCACGGCAAAAAUAAAAACUUCAGAAAAAAUUUAUUUUCACAAAAUUGCCUAAAAGGUNNNNNNNNNNNNNNNNNNNNNNNNNNNNNNNNNNNNNNNNNNNNNNNNNNNNNNNNNNNNNNNNNNNNNNNNNNNNNNNNNNNNNNNNNNNNNNNNNNNNAGAUAGUCAGCUGAUGGCUGUAAGUCAUUUGUCAUUGUUAUUUUUAUAGUACCCCAUCUUUAUANACCACUAUAUACAAUAUUACGAUUAGCAAAGUUGUACUACUUUUUUUGUUAUAUGGCCCACCUUUUCAUACUCAUAAAAAUGCCGAGAAGCACGUGAUAGAGUUGACUCUUAGCUAAGAACCCACUUACCUUCUCUCUCAUCUUCUCUUUCCUCUAACGAAACAAAAAUAUAUAAUUUAUUUCUUAUAGCCAGCUAACUCAGCUUUAUUAUACUUUGCUGUAAUAGUAUACGUACUGCAAUUUCAUUGUUGUCAUUUGUCGCAGGAAUAUCUUGGCACGUCAUCAAAAUAAGGACCUAUGGCCGGCUACUAGCUAUCCGGCAUUAUCUUUUCUCACCAUGGGAGACUGUCCACUUGGCAGGUUUUGAAACCUGCCAAUGCAUGGAAAGCCGGUCCAUAUAGAAAUCACCAAUUUGUUUAGAUGCAUGAACCUCUUCUGUGCAGUUGCUUUUAAAGUUACUGUGUAUAUAGACACAAUUGGACAAGUUGGUCUAUUUCCUAGUGGUUUUCGGUUGUCUAAAAUGAGCAUCUAAAAGAAGCAGAGCCGACGAAAACAAGGACUAGGUGAGAGUUGUGAGGGCAUGCAUGACUCCACUCAUCGAAAAUGGACUUGCGUACUUGAGUGCAUCGCCUUUGCAAUGGAAAGAAAAGGUAGAAACCAUAUACAUCCGCAGGGUUGGCAUAAUAUAAAAUAUUAUUACUACCAAUAUGUAUAAUUGAUCUUAUGUAUAAUUGUCAUCAUUCCUUUUCAAAAAAAAUGUAUAAUUGUCAUCAUUGAUCUUAUUUGGUGUGGAAUUUUUGACAAUUAGGACCUUCUCGAAAUUCAGAUUGUGCUUUCUUGACCAGACCAAUGAAAGCUCCUGCGCGCUAUAGGUCACCCAAGCACGUCAGGGAGCGCACGACAUGUAGCAAUAAUACAGUAACUGUCGCUAGCAGGUUUCGUACCAACUAAAUGGAGACAGCAUUUAGUACCGAGCGCCUGCAUCUGAGCCCUGCAACGUUCGUACCAAAUUAAAGUUCAAAGGAUGUAAACACGUCUGCUGCAAAUGCCGCUGAAUCCACAGGACGCAAGGUAGGACGCAGCCGCCAAGUGGACUUUUUUCUUUUCUUUUUUUGCGGUGAGCUGCCAAGUGGAUCUUACGUACUCCGUCCGUUUCAAAAUAAGUGUCGCUGACUUAGUAUAAAAUUUAUACUAAUUUAGUUAUAAAUUUGCGACACUUAUUUUGGGACAGAGGGAGUACAUGUUUCAUAGUCAUUGCUGGGAGCCCGACACCAAACUUACCCACACCACAUCGCCGAAGAUGGCAAAAAAGCGAGUUUUACAUGCUAAAUUAUCAUCUAAACGCGCAACAAGAGUUAAACAAAGAANNNNNNNNNNNNNNNNNNNNNNNNNNNNNNNNNNNNNNNNNNNNNNNNNNNNNNNNNNNNNNNNNNNNNNNNNNNNNNNNNNNNNNNNNNNNNNNNNNNNAUGAGACCGAAAGGUCGAUCAUGAAUCAUAUAGAUGAUAUGAUUAGCAUAGGGAUGCUUACCACUGAAACUAUACUCAACUCACGUGAUGAUCGGACUUGAGCUAGUGUAAGUGGAUCAUGAACCACUCAAAUGACUAGAGAGAUGUACUUUUUGAGUGGGAGUUCUUAAGUAAUAUGAUUAAUUGAACUAAUUGUCAUGAACAUAGUCUAAUGGUCUUUGCGAAUUACGAUGUAGCUUGCGCUAUAGCUCUACUGUUUUUAUAUGUUCCUAGAGAAAAUUUAGUUGAAAAUUGAUAGUAGCAAACUUUGCAGACUGAGUCUGUAAAACCGAGGAUUGUCCUCGUUGCUACGCAGAAGGCUUAUGUCCUUAAUGCACCACUCGGUGUGCUGCACCUCGAGCGUUGUCUGUGGAUGCUAUGAACAUCCGACAUACACGUUUGUGAUGACUACACGAUAGUUCAGUGCAAGAUACUUAAUGGCUUAGAAGCAAGGCGCCGAAAAUGUUGUAAAACGUCACGGAACAUAAUUGAUGUUCCAAAGAGAUGAAAUUGUGAUUUCAUGCUUGUGCCCUUGUUAAGAGGUACGAGACCUCCAAACAAGAUUCUUUGUCCACAAAGUAAAGGAGAAAAGCUCAAUCGUUGAGCGUGUGCUCAGAUUGUCUGAGUACGACAAUCACUUGAAUCAAGUGGGAGUUAAUCUUUCAGAUGAGAUAGUGAUGGUUCUCCAAAGUCACUGCCACCAAGCUGUGAGAGCUUCGUGAUGAACUACAAACAUAUCAAGGAUAGAUACAAUGAUCCUUGAGCGAUUCGUGAUGUUUUGACACUGCGAAAGUAGAAAUAAAAAGGGAGCAUCAAUAGUUGAUGGUUAGUAAAACCACUAAGUUUCAAGAAAGGCGAGGGCUAGAAGGGAUACUUCGUGAAACGGCAAAACAGUUCCUGCGCUAAUGAAGAGACCCAAGACUAAACCCAAACCUGAGACUAAGUGCUUCUGUAAUGAGGGGAACAGUCACUGAGGCGGAGCAACUCUAGAUACUCGGUAGAUAAGAAGGCUGGCAAAAGUCGAGAGAAGUAUAUUUGAUAUACAUAAUGUUGAUGUGUACUUUACUAGUACUCCUAGUAGCACGAGGGUAUUGGAUACCAGUUCGGUUGCUAAGUGAUUAGUAACGCGAAAUGAAAGCUACGGCAUAAACGGAGACUAGCUAAAGGCGAGGUGACGAUACGUGUUGGAAGUGUUUCCAAGGUUGAUAUGAUCAAACGUCGCACGCUCCCUCUACCAUCGGGAUUGGUGUUAAACCUAAAUAAUUGUUAUUUGGUGCUUGCGUUAAGCAUGAACAUGAUUGGAUCGUGUUUAUUGCAAUACAAUUAUUCAUUCAAAGAGAAUAAUGGUUACUCUAUUUGCUUGAAUAAUCACCUUCAAUGGUUUAUUGAAUCUCGAUUGUAGUGUUACACAUGUUCAUAAGAUUGGUGCCAAAAGAUACGAGUUAAUGAUGAUAGUACCACUUACUUGUGGCACUGCCGCUUGAGUCAUGUUAGUAUAAAUUGCAUGAAGAGGCUCCAUGCUGAUGGAUCUUUGUACUCACCUGAUUUCGAAUCACUAGUGACAUGCAAAUCAUACCACAUGAGCAAGGCCUUGUUUUCAUUGAGAUGAAACAAGAUAGUAACUUGUUGGAAGUGAUACAUUUUGAUGUAUGCAGUCCAAUGAGUGCUGAGGCACGCAGUGGAUAUCAUUAUGUUCUUACUUCACUGACGACUUGAGUAGAUACAGGAGUAUUUACUUAAUGAAUCACAAGUCUGAAAUAUUGAAAAGUUCAAUUCCGUUUCAGAGUGAAGUUCGUCGUAACAAGAGGAUGAAGUGUCUAUGAUAUGAUCAUAGAAAUGAAUAUCUGAGUUACGAGUUUUUGGUACACAGUGAAGACAAUGUGGAAAUUGUUUCACAGUUCAUGCCACCUGGAACAUCAUAGUGUGAUGAUGUGUCUGAACGUCAUAGCCACGCACUAUUUAGUAUGGUGCAAACUAUGAUGUCUCUUAUCGAAUUACCACUAUCGUUUAUGGGUUAUGCAUUAGAGACAACCGCACUCACUUUAAACAGGGCACCGCGUAUUUCCGUUGAUAUGACACAGUAUAGACUGAGGUUUAGAGAAAUCUAAACUGUCGUUUCUUGAAAGUUUGGGGCUUCGACACUUAUGUGAAAAAGUUUCAGUCUGAUAAGCUCGAACCCAAAGCGGAUAAAUGCAUCUUCAUAGGAUAUCCAAAACAGUUGGGUACAUCUCCUAUCUCAGAUCCGAAAGCAAAGUGUUUGUUUCUAGAAACGGAUCCUUUCUCGAGGAAAGGUUUCUCUCGAAAGAAUUGAGUGGGAGGGUAGUAGAACUUGAUGAGGUUAUUGAACCAUCACUUCAACCAGUGUGUAGCAGGGCGCAGGAAGUUGUUCCUGUGGCGCCUACACCAAUUGAAGUGGAAGCUGAUGAUGGUGAUCAUCAAGCAUCUGAUCAAGUUACUACAAGCCUCGUAGGUUGACAAGGUCGCGUACUACUACAGAGUGGUACGGUAACCAUGUCUUGGAGGUCAUGUUGUUGAGCAACAGUGAACCUACGAGUUAUGGAGAAAGCGAUGGUGGGCCCAGAUUCCGACAAAUGGCUGGAAGCCAUGAAAUCCGAGAGAGGAUCCAUGUAUGAAAACAAAGUGUAGACUUUGGAAGAAUUACUUGAUGGUCAUAGGAUUAUUGAGUAAAAUGGAUCUUUAAAAGGAAAAGAGACGAUGAUGGUGAUAAGUCACUAUUGAGAAAAGCUCGACUUGUCACAAAGAUGUUUUCGACAAGAUUAAACAGUUGGCUAUGAUGAGACUUUCUCACUCGUAGCGAUGCUAAAGGUCUGUUAGAAUUAUGUUAGUUGUUGAUGCAUUAUUUAUGAAAUAUUGCACGUAGGAUGUCAAAACAUUGUUUUCUCGACGGUUUCCUUGAGCAAACAUUGUAUGAGAUACAACCAGGAGGUUUUGUCGAUCCUAAGGAUACUAACAAGUAUGCAAGCUCCAGUGAUCCUUCAAUGGACUGGUGCAAGCAUCUCGGAGUUGGAAUAUACACUUUGAUGAGAUGAUCAAAGAUUUUGGGUUUGUACAAGGUUUAUGAGAAACUUGUAUUUCCAAAGAAGUGAGUGGGAGCACUAUAGAAUUUCUGAUAGGUAUAUGUGGUUGACAUAUUGUGGAUCAGAAGUAAUGUAGAAUUUCUGUAAAGCAUACAAGGUUGUUUGAAAGAAGUUUUCAAAGGAGUACCUGGAUUACGCUACUUGAACGUUGAGCAUCAAAGAUCCAUGGAGAUAGAUCGAAAGCGCUUAAUAGAAGUUUCAACAAGAUGCAUGCCUUGACAAGUUUUUGAAAGAGUUCAAAAUAGACCAGCAAAGAAGUAGUUCUUGGUUGCGUUGUGAGGUGUGAAUUUGAGUAAGACUCAAAACCCGACAACGGCAAAAUAAAGAGAAUAGACGAAGGUCGUCUUCUAUGCCUUAGCCGUAGAAUCUAAAGUAUGCCAUGCUGUGUACCGCACCUGAUGUGUGCCUUGACUCAAAGUAUGUUGAGAGGUACAGAGAGUAAUCCAUGAUUGAAUCACUAGCAGCGGUCAAAACUUAUCCUUAGUAACUAAUGGACUAAGGAAUUUUUCUCGAUUAUGGAGGUGGUUAAAGAGUUCAUCGUAAAGGGUUACGUCGAUGCAAGCUUUGACACUAAUCUGAAUAACUAUGAGUAGUGAAACGGAUUCGUAUAGUAGAGUAGAUAUUUGGAGCAUUUCCGAAUAGCACUUAGUAGCAGCAUCUAUAAGAUGACAUAAAUAUUUGUAAAGAAUGCACGGAUCUGAAAGUGUCAGAACCGUUGACUAAAACCUCUCUCACGAGCAAGACGUGAUCAGACCCCAUAACUAUAUGGGUGUUGGAUUAGUUGGAAUCACAUGGUGAUGUGAACUAGAUUAUUGACUCUAGUGCAAGUGGGAGACUGUUGGAAAUAUGCCCUAGAGGCAAUAAUAAAUGAGUUAUUAUUAUAUUUCUUGGUUCAUGAUAAUCGUUUAUUAUCCAUGCUAUAAUUGUAUUGAUUGGAAACACAAUACUUGUGUGGAUACAUAGACAAAACACUGUCCCUAGUAAGCCUCUAGUUGACUAGCUCGUUGAUCAAAGAUGGUCAAGGUUUCCUGGCCAUAGGCAAGUGUUGUCACUUGAUAACGGGAUCACAUCAUUAGGAGAAUCAUGUGAUGGACUAGACCCAAACUAAUAGACGUAGCAUAUUGAUCGUGUCAUUUUGUUGCUACUGUUUUCUGCGUGUCAAGUAUUUAUUCCUAUGACCAUGAGAUCAUAUAACUCACUAACACCGGAGGAAUGCUUUGUGUGUAUCAAACGUCGCAACGUAACUGAGUGACUAUAAAGAUGCUCUACAGGUAUCUCCGAAGGUGUUAGUUGAGUUAGUAUGGAUCAAGACUGCGAUUUGUCACUCCGUAUGACGGAGAGGUAUCUCGGGGCCCACUCGGUAAUACAACAUCACACACAAGCCUUGCAAGCAAUGUAACUUAGUGUAAGUUGCGGGAUCUUGUAUUACAGAACGAGUAAAGAGACUUGCCGGUAAACGAGAUUGAAAUAGGUAUGCGGAUACUGAUGAUCGAAUCUCGGGCAAGUAACAUACCGAAGGACAAAGGGAAUGACAUACGGGAUUAUACGAAUCCUUGGCACUGAGGUUCAAACGAUAAAGAUCUUCGUAGAAUAUGUAGGAUCCAAUAUGGGCAUCCAGGUCCCGCGAUUGGAUAUUGACCGAGGAGUCUCUCGGGUCAUGUCUACAUAGUUCUCGAACCCGCAGGGUCUGCACACUUAAGGUUCGACGUUGUUUUAUGCGUAUUUGAGUUAUAUGGUUGGUUACCGAAUGUUGUUCGGAGUCCCGAAUGAGAUCAGGAUGUCACGAGGGUUUCCGGAAUGGUCCGGAAACAAAGAUUGAUAUAUAGGAUGACCUCAUUUGAUUACCGGAAGGUUUUCGGAGUUACCGGGAAUGUACCGGGAAUGACGAAUGGGUUCCGGGAGUUCACCGGGGGGGGGGGGGCAACCCACCCCGGGGAAGCCCAUAGGCUUUGGGGAGUACACACCAGCCCUUUAGUGGGCUGGUGGGUACAGCCCCAAGGGGGCCUAUGCGCCAAGAAUAAAGAAUCAAAGGAAAGAAAAAAAAAGAGGGAGGAAGUGGGAAGGGAGGGGGACUCCUCCCNNNNNNNNNNNNNNNNNNNNNNNNNNNNNNNNNNNNNNNNNNNNNNNNNNNNNNNNNNNNNNNNNNNNNNNNNNNNNNNNNNNNNNNNNNNNNNNNNNNNGGGAGAGGAUCCCACAUGUAAUUAUUAUGAGAGAGGAAAAUAUUGUGGUAGAAACUUUCAUGACACUAAAUCACCUCUUCUUAUGUUGAGAUUGUUAUUGUCUCUUUCAUCUUCCUUGCAUUUGGUAACUAUUGGUUGUCUUGACAAUUUGUUUUCCUAUAAAAUGCAUAUGCAUGGGAAGUAUAUUAGACUUAGAUAUGUUUGUCACAUGUUUCAUGAUGCUCUCUUCGUGUCUGAUUGCUAUCUUUUAUGUGAGCAUCAUUGAAUUAUCAAUGCCUAGCUAAGGUCGGUAAACAAUAGGGCUUGUUGGGAGGCAACCCAAUGAAUUUAUAUUUGUUUUUUGCUUUGCGUUUUGUUGUGUCCACAUCAUCAUAAUUCUGUUAUGAUUGUGUUUUUUAUGUUUCUCUUUGUGUUUGUGCCAAGUAAAACCUUUAUGACUAGUUUUGGUGAUGGUUGUUUGACCGUGCUGAAAAAGACAGAAACUUUUUGCUCACAAAAUUAUUUUUCAUUCCUAUCCAGAAAGAGAUUUUGAGUUGAUUCUUUUUGCUGAUGGUUGAUAUGCCAAUUUCCCUAAUUGUCGUAAUUGUUCAUAAUUUUUUAGAUACCAGAAGUAUAUGAAGUAUACAAAUUUCUACAGACUGGUAUGUUUUUAACACAUUCUGUUUUUGUUGUGUUGAUUGCUUAUUUUGAUGAAACUAUGGAUAGUAUCGUGGGCUACUAGCUAUGGAAAAGUGAGAAUACAGUAAUAUAACACCAAUAUAAAUAGAAAUAAAGUUUGCUACAGUACCUAAAGAGGUGGUGGUUUGUUUUCUUAUGCUAAUGAUAUCACGAGUUUCUGUUUAAGUUUUGUGUUGUGAAGUUUUCAAGUUUUGGGUGAUGUUCUCAUGGACAAUGGGAUAAAGAGUGGAAAGAGCUCAAGCUUGGGGAUGCCCCGGGAUGGUAUCUUCUCUUUCGUCCUUAAUCCAUCGGUAACGUUACUUGGAGCUAUAUUUUUAUUCACCACAUGAUAUGUGUUUUGCUUGGAGCGCCAUGUAUUAUAGGAGUCUUUUCUUUUUGUUGUGUCACAAUCAUCCUUGCUGCACACCUUUUUGAGAGAGACAUGCACUCAUCGUGACUUUGCUAGAAUACUCAUUGAGCUUCACUUAUAUCUUUUGAGUUGGGCAAUUUAGCUCGCAUGUGCUUCACUUAUAUAUUUUGAGGUAGAUAAUUUUGUCUAAGUGCUUUACUUAGAUAUUUUUAGAGCACGGCGGUGUCAUAUUUUGGAGAAAUAAAAACUCUCGAUCUUCACUUAUAUCUUUUUGAGAGUGCUCCCUCUGAGUAACUUGGUAGUUUGCGUGUGCCAUGAAAGAGUCCUAAAGAUGAUAGGCAUCCAAAGAGGAUAUAAUAAAAACUUCCAUGUUCAUGUGCAUUGAUUAGAAAGAAAAGUUUGAUUCCUCACAAUUAGUUUUGAGAUAUGGAUUUGGUGAUGUUAGAGUUAUGUUAGUAGGGUGUUGUGAAUCUAGAAAUACUUGUGUUGAAGUUAGUGAUUCCCGUAGCAUGCACGUAUGGUGAACCGCUAUGUUAGGAAGUUGGAGCAUAAUUUAUUUAUUGAUUGUCAUCCUUUGUGUUGCGGUCGGGAUCGCGCGAUGGUUAACACCUACCAACCCUUCCCCUAGGAGUAUGCGUUUAGCACUUUGUUUCGAUUACUAAUAGAACUUUCGCAAUAACUAUAUGAGUUCUUCAUUACUAAUGUGAGUCCAUGGUAUAGAUGCACUUUCACCUUCCACCAUUGCUAGCUUCUUUAGUGCCGCGCAACUUUCUCCGGUGCACAAAACCCACCAUAUAAAACAGCCACCAUACCUACCUACUAUGGCAUUUUCAUAGUCAUUCCGAGAUAUAUUGCCAUGCAACUCCCACCGUUCCGUCUCAUCACUUGUGUCGUCACUUUCAUAUUGCCAUUGCAUGAUCGUAAGAUAGCUAGCGAGAUGUUUCAACGUCAUACGCUAAGCUAGAUCAUUGCACAUCCCGGUACACUGCCGGAGGCAUUUCCUAUAGAGUCAUCAUUGCUCUACAUAUUAAGUUGUGAGUAAAUAAAAGUGUGAUGAUGAUCACUAUUAGAGCAUUGUCCCAUGUGAGGAAACAAAAAAUGAAAAGAGGCCAAAGAUGCCCACCAAAAAAGAGAGAAAAAGAGAGAAGGGACAAUGCUACUAUCUUUUUCCAUACUUGUGCUUCACAAAAGCACCAUGUUCUUCAUGAUUGAGAGUCUCUUGUUUUGACACUUCCUUAUACUAGUGAGAAUUUUCAUUAUAUAACUUGGCUUGUAUAUUCCAAUGAUGGGCUUCCUCAAAAUUUCCCUAGGUCUUAGUGAGAAAGCAAGUUGGGUGCACACCCACUAGUUUUCCUUUUGAGCUUUCACACACUUAUAGCUCUAAGUGCAUCCGUUGCAUGGUAAUCCCUACUCAUUCACAUUGAUAUCUAUUGAUGGGCAUCUCUAUAGCCCGUUGAUAUGCCGAGUCAAUGUGACCAUCUCCUCCUUUUUGCCUCACAACCUCCACCACAUUCUAUUCCACCUAUAGUACUAUAUCCAUGGAUCACGCUCAUGUAUUGCGUGAGAGUUGAAAAAUUUGAGAAAGUAAGAGUGUGAAAACAAUUACUUGGCCAAUACCGGGGUUGUGCAUGAUUUAAAUUCGUUGUGUGGGGAUGAUGGAGCAUAGCCAGACUAUAUGAUUUUGUUAUUUCAAAAGUUCAUGAUCACUUUGCUAGCAUGCUUGAGGUAUUAUUGUUUUCAUGUCAAUAGUAAACUUUUGUUUUGAAUCUUACGGAUCAGAACAUUCAUGUCACAAGAAAGAAGUUACAAAGGACAAAUAUGUUAGGUAGCAUUCCACAUCAAAAAUUCAGUCUAUAUCACUUCCCUACUCGAGGACGAGCAGUAGUUAAGCUUGGGAAUGCUUGAUACGUCUCCAACGUAGCUAUAAUUUUUUAUGGUUCCAUGCUAUUAGAUUUCUAACUUUGGAUAUUUUGUAUGCAUGAAUAUGCUAUUUUUGGGACUAACCUAUUAAAUCAGUGCCAAAUGUAGUUCCUGUUUUUUCCGUGUUUUUGACCCUUUUCAGAGGAGAGUAUUAAACGGAGUCCAAACGGAAUAAAACCUUCGGAAAUAUAUUUUUCGUAAGAGAAGAUACACAGGGAACUUGAGAACCAAGGCAAAGGACUCCGGGGGAGGCCACAAGCCCCCUAGCCACGGCCUGGGGGCGCGCCUACCAGGCUUGGCCCCCCGGUAGCUCAUUUGCCCUACUUCUUUUGCCUAUAUAUACCCUAAAAAUCCAAAACUAUCAGAGAGAGCCACGAAAAUACUUUUCCGCCACCGCAAGCUUCUGUCUUCGCAAGAUCCCAUCUGGGGCACGUUCUGGUGCCCUGCCGGAGGGGGAUUCGGACACGGAGAGCUUCUUCAUCAACACCAUUGCCUCUCUGAUGAUGCAUGGGUAGUUAACCAUAGACUUUCGGGUCCAUAGCUAGUAGCUAGAUGGCUUCUUCUCUCUCUUGGAUCUUCAAUACAAAGUUCUCCAUGAUCUUCAUGGAGAUCUAUCCGAUGUAAUCUUCUUUUGCGGUGUGUUUGUCGAGAUCCGAUGAAUUGUGGAUUUAUGAUCAGAUUAUCUAUGAAUAUUAUUUGAGUUUCCUCUAAUCUCUUAUAUGCAUGAUUUUGUAUCCUUGUAAUUCUCUUCGAGUUGUGGGUUUUUGGCCAACUAGAUCUAUAAUUCUUGCAAUGGGAGAAGAGCUUGGUUUUGGGUUCAUACCGUGCGGUGUCCUCACCCAGUGACAGAAGGGGUAGCGAGGCACGCAUCGUGUUGUUGCCAUCAAGGGUAAAAAGAUGGGGUUUAUAUCUAUUGCAUGAAUUUAUCCCUCUACAUCAUGUCAUCUUGCUUAAGGCGUUACUCUGUUUGUUAUGAACUCAAUACACUAGAUGCAUGCUGGACAACGGUCGAUGUGUGGAGUAAUAGUAGUAGAUGGAGACAGUAUUGGUCUACUUGUCUGGGACGUGAUGCCUAUAUGUAUGAUUAUUGCUUUAGAUGUCAUCAUGAGUUUGCGUGGUUCUAUCAAUUGUUCGACAGUAAUUCGUUCACCCAUCGUAAUACUUGCUAUCAUGAGAGAAGCCUCUAGUGAACACUAUGGCCGCCUGGUCUACUUCACAUCAUAUUUUCAGCUCUACACUUUUACUUUGUUGCACUUUCCACCUUCAGAUGUCACCUUGCAAUUAAUCGUGAAGGGAUUGACAACCCCUUUAUAGCGUUGGGUGCAAGUUUGUUUGUUUUUGCGCAGGUACAUUGGUGACUUGUCUUGGUACUCCUAGUGGAUAGAUACCUUUGUUCUCAAACUCAGGGAAAUACUUACUUCUACUGUGCUGUAUCACCCUUUCCUCUUCAAGGGAAAAACCAACGCAAGCUCAAGAGGUAGCAGUGGUUGAGGUGCCGACCGCCCCAGCGGCUGCUACUAAAGGGGAAGCUUCAGAAAAAACAGCAAGAAGUCCGAGCGUGAGAGAGCAUCCAAAUGGGCUAGGAAAAAGGAAAAAAUGACGUGCUACCGGUGUAGUGGACCGGGACAUUUUAUGGCAGAGUGUACGGUUGAACUGUGUGACAUCUGCCGAAAGCACAAGCAUGAAACAGGUGAGUGUCCUUUGAUGCAGAAACCGAAACCGAUUCUCAUUAUCUAUGGGGCGUGUUGCAAGGAGCUGAUGUUUUUUGAGUCACCAACGACGGUUACGCAAGUUCGAGAGAGCACCAGGACAGGGGUUGUGAAGGUCACUCGUGGAACUAUGAUUGUUGAUCAGAUAAUACAGCAGCUGCGUGAACUUGUUUCAGCCUCUUUUAAGAGGGAUCUGAUAAAACUUGACGAGUAGAUUUAUAGGGUUGAGUUUCCUACUAAAGAGGAUCUUGCCACGCUGCUUAAGUUUCGGAUGAGCCGGGUUCCAAACAGCACUUGCAUUAUGGAGUUCGAUGCAUGGACUCAGAAAGAUCCUGAGGGGACUCCUCUCAUGCAGCUUUGUGUUCGGUUCAAUGGUGCUCCACGUAGGGCACUGGAUGAUUUCUUGAUCACAUGGAGCCUCGGGUCUUUUAUUGGUAAGACGGAGAAGGAAGAUAUGUCGUUCACAAGAGCACAGGGUAUAGCUGUCUUCUUGUUUCCGUGGUCAGUGUUGAGCAUAUUCCGGAUACCGUCAGAUGGACGUAUGAUGGUAGGUGCUUUGAUCUGGAUAUUGAGUUAGAGGAGAGUGAGGACUUUCACGAGCUGGCCAACCAGGUUGACAUGGAUACAAACGAGUGGCAUGGACGAGAAGGUAAUCUUGAUAAGGAGACAGAGCCGAGAGAUGGUACUGACAGAGGAUAAUCUUCACCUAACAAACCGGAGGAGAAUGUUACCAGGAAGCAUUCUCACGGUUCGUCUUUUGCGCACCAGCUGAGAUUUGGGUCUUUCGGGGUUGCUUCGGCGCUUGGUAGACUAUGGGGUGCUAAUUCGUCCCAAACGUAUCUAUAAUAUCUGCUUGUUCCAUGAUCUUUUCGGUGACAUUGUUAUAUGUUUUGCUACACUUUUAUAUCAUUUUCAACAUAUUUGGACUAACCUACUAACUCAGAGCACCUAGUGCGAGUUGCUGUCUGCUCAUGUCUAUUUUGCAGGGGCUUUGCACUAGUAGAAAAAUGCCCAUUUGUCCCGGUUGCACAGGCCCAUUAGCCCCAGUUCUGGAACCGCUACUAAAGGGUCGGGACUAAAGGCCCAAACAUUUAGUCCCGAUUGUCUUACGAACCGGGCCCAAAGGGUCUCCACAUGGCCGUUGUGGGGAGCCCAGGAAGGAGGGCCUUUAGUCCCGGUUCGUCACACCAACCGGGACCAAAUGGCAUCCACGCGUCAGCAUUUGGCCGGAGCUGGGUUUUUUUUGAAUGGGGGGGUGGGUGGUUUUUGGAGGGUUAAUUUAGUGGUUUCAUAUUAUGUUAGCUACGUAAUAAAGAGAAGUGUCCACUAUUAAGAAAAAGCCUAGUAGUAGCGUGGGUUUAGUGCCUACUAGUAGCGCGGGUUACCGCGCUACUAGUAAGGCGCUACAGCUAUUGCUUACUAGUAGCGCGUGUUAGACAUGCUACUGCUAAGACAUAUAGCUGUAGCGUGUAUCAUACCAGCACUACUAAUAAGAAAACUAUUUGUAGCGUUCUUGCAAACCCGCGCUACUAGUAAUCUGUUUUUCAUUAAUUUUUAAUUUAGUGUAUUUAUACGCCGUUAUAUAAAUUUUGAUGCAUUACCAAUUAAGAGGUUGUUAUAUCAUUAUGUUCAUGAUGAAUUAUUAUAUCAUUGUGCGGAAGAAACAUGGAUUUUAUUCAUCCAAAUGAAUCAAAAGUGAUCAAAAGUUCAAUUAGUAAGCCGACGAUCCUACUAAUUCAACUUUUGGUCACUUUCAAUCCAUCCACAUGAAUCUAAUCCGCUUUCCUUCCCCCAAUGAUAUAAUAACCAAUCAUGAUCAUAAUAACAAAUCAUCAUGAUAAUCAUGAUCAACAUCAUCAUCAUAUUAAUAUAAAAACUCUUGCGUCACUAUAGCUAAUAAUCAUCAUAGUCAUUACCACCAAUACUAUCUAAUCAUCAUUUUCGUCAAUGAGACAUCAUAUAACAAAAGUUGGUCACUAGUCAUAAUCACAUCUCCUCCUCCCCAUCAUCAUCAAGUAUAAAACAUUGUAGCACAUAAUAACACAUUGUACCUAGGACCUACUCCUCUCUCAUAGGACCUACUCUACCCUCUCUUAGGUAGAAUAUCAUAAAACAAGAUAGGCCCUGACUCUCCAUUAUGGAUAAUGGAGAUCAUCUUGUCUCCAAUUCUUGGCCUGCGCACAAUGCUGCUUCCAAGUAGCUCUCUACGAUAGGCCAUACAUUUUUCCCUAUCUUUGAUUGUCAUUUCAUCGGUUUUAGAAAUCCGGUAUGGACAAGAGUGAUGCAGAUACCUAGGCUGACCUGGCCGUGCUGGCCGUAUUCUCAUAACAUCAACGCGACCUCUUGGAAACAUCAGAUGAGGCACACAAUCCCGCGGGAUUUUUUGUUGAAAAACAUAGUAAUAACUUUGUAGCUAGCAAUGUAGUUUAGUUUUACAAGAAUUUAUGCAAAAGCUGCAUGGAUGUUGUAAUAGUAGAAAAUCUUACCAUGCAAUCUCCAUGCAUAUUACCGUAGUUCACCACGUGCACUAGUGGAACGUAUUGACCAUAAUGUGGAGGAGUUUGCUGAUAGGUAUUGUAAUUCUCAAGAUCAUUGAUAAAUGCGACAAGAUGAUGCUUCUCCUUACAAGUUAAUUAUGCUUCCUCAUUGUAGUAAUAGGUUAUGUCUACCAUCUUCCGUACAUUUUUUGAAGAACAAAAAUAAGUUGUCAAUGGAAAUAGGUUGUCAACUAUUUUUAAACAAUUUAAAUUAUUUAAUAAGUAUGGUUUAGAAACUCACAUAAUGUUAGAACUGGAGACGUCUGCACAUCGACCAAGAUGUCGAUAUUACCUUCAAUUUCAUCUUCCGAACGAAUAUCAAAGGUGAUAAGCAUAUUAGGCUCAAAUGCAUAAGCCUUGCAUAGUGCUACCCAAGUUUUGCAUUCAAAAAAGUAGUAGGUGUCUGCAUUGUACAACUUUAUGGCAAAAGUAUAACCAUGCUCGGUCCUCAAGUGAAGUAUCUUUACCUCCAUAGUUUUUUCAGUACUCAAAUGAAUCUUAUCCAAGACAUAAAUUCUUGCAUGGCAGGGUAUACGCUAGUAGAAUAGUAAAAAUAAAAAUUAGAAGUUGAAGAAAAAGAAUUCAUGCUUAAUUAGGAAAAAAGACUUCUCGUAGUGACUUACUGUAUCCACUUCGAAGUCCUCAUCCAGCAUGAUGCUGAAGCGCAUAUCAUCUACUAGGUGAGGUGUGUCGCACAGGCCGCGCUCGUCUGGGCAGUAUUCGCACAUAACGAAUUUCCUUUCGUCGUCAGACAUUUCCUUCCUAGAAUUGAUCAACACACAAAUCAUUAUUACUCAAUAUGCAAGGGUUGACUUCAGGUUUGUCAAGUCUUUCCUUCCUAAACUCUCAUCUCACGAAUAUGGUGGUAGUCCCUCUGAUAUUUCGACCAUCGGUGAUGGUCUCUACUCCUUCUUUCCCUUGUGCAUUACAAAUAUCUAGCACAAGGUAAAGAAGGAGAAGCAACCCCCAUGACAAUAGUCGGGAUUCUUCCUCUAUCUAGCACACAAGGAAAAGAACGAGAAGCGACCCCCAUGACACCUAAAGUCAACCUGUUCCAUACAUCGAGAAAUGACAUAGAACAAAUGCCCUAUGUUUUGUCAGAAUAUCAUUGAAUUCCCGUUCUGGCAAAUUACAAGCACUCGAUAUGUCCUACAUUGUAGCAUAAGUCAUGCUAAAAUUCAUGAAAAAAAUUCAGCAUGACCUUUACUAAAAACAGGACAUAUCAAGCGCCUGAAAUUUGCCGGAACGGGGGCGGCGACUAGCACUAGCAUUUUCAUCAUCAACAUUUACAACACAUUAUCAUCUAUAUCAACAACAUGGGGAUUUGGCUAAUCUCACCUAGAGGCGACGGCGACGGGCUCGGGGCGACGACGAUAGCGACGGGCUCAGGGCGACGGCGAUGGGCUCGACGACGACGGACUCGGGGGCGAUGAUGACGGCCUCGGGCCGGCGAUGGUGACGUUCUCGGGGGCGGUGACUAUGACAAGAUCGGGGACGGAGGCGACAACAAGGAGGAUUGGAUCGGGGGCGGCAACGAAGACGGCGAUGGGCUUGGGGGCGAUGACGACGUGCUCGGGGGCGGCGACGAUAACGUGCUCGGGGGCGGCGAUGACGACGUGCUCGGGGGCGGCGACGACGACGGGCUUGGGGACGGUGGCGACGACGAGGAGGAGGACGAGCUCCGAGUGGUGGCGACGACAACGAGGACGACGGGCUCGGGACGGCAGCGACGAUGAGAAGGACGGGCUCGGGGGCAAAUGGGAGAGUUUGGGGGAAAUUUCGACAACUCCCGCCUAUAUGCAAAAAGUAGUGGUCCCGGUUCGAGGCACAAACCGGGACCAAUGCCCACCUAUCGUCCCGGUUGGAGCCACAAACCGGGACUAAAGGCCAAUUUCCAACAGCCCAAAGGGCGGGAAGAAGAGACCUUUAGUCCCGGUUGGUGCCAAUAACUGACACGGAAGGGGGGUAUUCGUGUCGGUUGGAGGCACAAACCGGGACUAAAGGUAUGUGCCUGCCACAACCGUGGUUUAUAAGCGCUGGUGCACACACACUCUCGAGCUCCUCUCAACUGCAGGCUUCCGGGCCUAAUUUGUCACUCCAUGUGGGCCUACUAGGCCUUCUGCGGGCCUGAAUCCUGGUCCAACUCUCUCGUUGGGUUUCUAGUCGUAUUCAGGCCGUGGUGCCCCAGUAGGUGGCAUUUUUUUAAAUCCCAUGUUUUUGUUUCAUUUUUUACUUUACUUAUUUUAUUUUGUGACUAACUUUACUAAAAGAAUAGAUUUUUUAGUGAUUCUUUUUCCUGCUAUUUAAUAUUACUGUGUUUUUAUCAUUAUAUUCUAUUUGGUAGGCUUUAGGUUAUUUCAAAUGACUAUUUUAAUCAAAAAUAGAUGUGUUACAACAGGGAUUUCAUUUUUUUGAACUUAUUUGAACUCAAGAAUUUUUGUGUUUUCAAACACCAUUCAAGACCAUAUCAUCAAUUUUCAACACUUUAUGAGUUCAUUUGAUAUUUUUCAUGCAUUUACUGAUUUUUUGAACUAAAUGGCCCAGAAAUUGAAAAGCACUACAAAUGAACUAUGAGUAGCUUGAAAGUUGGCAUGGUAGCAUCAUUUCACCCAUAUAGCAUGUGCAAAAAAGUUGAGAGGGUUGCAGAAAAAACUGGAUGCACUUCGUGUACAAAUCGGACAAUCUCUUUCGAAGUAUCAGGGUUUCUUACGAAAACUGAUCUAUUACAAAAGGGAUUUCAUUUUUUUGAAGUUAUUUGAACUCAAGACUUUUUGUGUGUUCAAAAUGCACCAUUCGAGGCCACAUCAUCAAUUUUCAACACUUUCUGAGUUUAUUUGGAAUUUUUCAUGCAUUAACUAAAUUUUUGAGCUAAAUGGCCCAGAAAUUGAAAAGCACUGCAAAUGAACUCUGAAUAGGUUGAAAGUUGGCAUGGUAUCAUCAUUUCACCCACAUAGGAUGUGCUAAAAAGUUGAGAGAGUUGCGGCAAUAACUGGAUGCACUUCGUGUACAGAUCGGACAAUCUAUUUUGAAGUAUCACGGUUUCUUACGAAAACUUAUCUGUUACAAAAGGGAUUGCAUUUUUUAAAACUUAUUUGAACUCAAGACUUUUUGUGUGUUAAAAAUGCACCAUUCAAGGCCACAUCAUYAAUUUUCAACACUUUCUCUGAUCAUUUGGUAUUUUUCAUACAUUUACUGAUUUUUUUUGAGCUAAAUGGACCAGAAAUUGAAAUGCACUACAAAUGAACUUUAAAUAGGUUGAAAGUUGGCAUGGUAUCAUCAUUUCACCCACAUAGCAUGUGCUAAAAAGUUGAGAGGGUUGCGGCAAAAACUGGAUGCACUUCGUGUACAAAUCGGACAAUCUCUUUCGAAAUAUCAGGGUUUCUUACGAAAACUCAUCUAUUAUAAAAGGAAUUUCAUUUUUUUGAACUUAUUUAAACUCAAGACUUUUUGUGUGUUCAAAAUGCACCAUUCAAGGCCACAUCAUGAAUUUUCAACACUUUCUGAGUUCAUUUGGUAUUUUUCAUGCAUUUACUGAUUUGUUUUGAGCUAAAUGGCCUAGAAAUUCAAAAGCACUACAAAUGAACUCUGAAUAGGUUGAAAGUUGGCAUGGUAUCAUCAUUUCACCCACAUAGCAUGUGCUAAAAUGUUGAGAGGGUUGUGGCAAAAACUGGAUGCACUUCGUGUACGAAUCGGACAAUCUCUUGCGAAGUAUCAGAGUUUCUUACGAAAACUCAUCUGUUACAAAAGGGAUUUCAUUUUUUAAAACUUAUUUGAACUCAAUACUUUUUGUGUGUACAAAAUGCACCAUUCAAGGUCAUAUCAUCAAUUUUCAUUUGGUAUUUUUCAUGCAUUUACUGGAUGUUUCGUUUUUUACUUUAUUUAUUUAAUUUUGUGAAUAAAUUUACUAAGAAAAUAGAUUUUUAGUGAUUAUUUUUCCUCCUAUUUAAUAUUACUGUGUUUUUAUCAUUAUAUUCAAUUUGGUAGGUUUUAGGUUAUUUUAAAUGACUGUUUUAAUGAAAAACAAAUCUGUUACAAAAGGGAUUUUAUUUUUUUGAACUUAUUUGAACUAAAGACUUUUUGUAUAUAUAUGUAGUCAAAAUGCAUGAUACCGUGAAGUAAGAAAGGGCUAAACCAUUCAAAAGUAACAAAUGAAGUUAGAAAGGGCUAUACCAUUCAAAUUUGGAAACUAUAAUGGCACAAACAGAAACUAGACAUAUAAAAAUUGGUCCAAGCAGUACAGAAUGAUACUAGUACAAACAGCACAUAAUAAUAGCUAGCAUAGAUAUAUAUACAAGUGUUUGCCGUUGUGAACACUGCUCGUCUGAAUCGUCUGAAUCAGAAUGUCCACCUGCUCUGAGGUGACGUCAGCCAUAGUUGACGACUCGGAUCUUGCGGUAGAACUCGUAUGAAACAUAUGCAUCUUUUGCUGCCUACUCAAUGUUGAUACGAUCAAGUGGGGCCUUCUCCCAAAGUCUGUGCUGAGACUUUGGAAAUUUGGUCUUCAUAUCAGCAUACUCCUCGUUGAUCAAGGCGACUGCCAUAUGAGCCAUCGAAGUCCUCUCAUGUCGAAGCCUGAAUUCAUGUUGGAGAUCAAUGAGGCAAUCAGUUGGUAUCUCAAUACCGAAGUUGUGCCCCAUCUUCGGCUUGUCGUUCGUUAUGUCAACGGUAGCAAAAGUGAUGCUGCUGUGAAGGAAGUACAUCAGUUCUUUACAAUGCUUGUCACUACUGCAACAACAACAAAUUAAAAUGGAACAAAUGUUACAUACUGCUGCAAUAAGGAAAAAUGUUNNNNNNNNNNNNNNNNNNNNNNNNNNNNNNNNNNNNNNNNNNNNNNNNNNNNNNNNNNNNNNNNNNNNNNNNNNNNNNNNNNNNNNNNNNNNNNNNNNNNUUUUCCUCCCAUUUCUUAAACUCACAAAAUAUGUAUGCGCCCAUGUAUGAUCUGCUUUAUUGCAUUACCAAAGAUAGAGAUUAACUGCUAUUUAUUGGGUUAGCAAAGCUGUCUAACCAGUACCAUAUUUUACCACAAAUAACAAUUUAUUUAUGCAAUGUUGAAUUUAUUGUUAUACCACAAAUUGAUCUGGUUUAUUGAGUUAUCACAUAUUGAUUUGAUGAAAACCAGAAGGGGGUGGAAAACUGGAAAAAAAUGGUGGAGGUGGGAUGACGGAUUAGGAGGGUGAAGAGAAAAAUUGACAUAAGAUGAAACCUUAUGGUUUUUUUUUUUUUUUUUUUUUUUUACGUAAUAGAUACCUUAUGUUAUUGUUAAGUAGUAUAUAGAGAUAGAGAUAAUUGUUGCUUUUCCACACAUAUAUUUUUUUCUGCGUAAUACAAUUAGAUGCUAACCGUCUAUACGACGAUACAAACAGAUGGAGAUAUACACUAUCUCAUUUGAUAUGCACGUGUACGAAGAAAGUCAAGGCUGGUGUCGUCAUUGAGGAAUAGGUAUGCAUGUAACGUCACCUUUUUUAUUGAGUUUGAUUGUCAGCUUUUUAUAGGCAACUAAUUGUUAGAAAUCUCGCAGACAACUGAUGGACUGAGUUGUAGAAUUUUCUGCCUGGGAUACAGCAGGUCUACCGAACCCGUGGAGCCAAAAUUUGUGAAAAUGUUACCGUAAUUAACAAUAUAUAAGAGGGAAGCCACUAGUAGAAAACAAGGCUUUCGUCCCAACUUGAUUUAUACAUUAGUCUCGGUUCCAUUACGAACCGGGACUAAUGUUCGCAUUAGCCCCGUUUCAAGCGGCAAGAACGCUGGUCAGGUCAUCAGUUCCCGUUUAAAUGGGACCUUUAGUCCCGGUUCGUGUCUCGAACCGGUACUAAAAGGUUUAGAGGCUUUAGUCCCGGUUCAUGUCUCGAACCGGGACAAAAGGAUAGACCUUUAGUCCCGGUUUGAGACACGAACCGGGGAUUUAAAGGGGGUUUAAUUUUUUUUUUUUGUUUUUUAAAUUUGUUUUUCUGUUUGUAGUUUUCUAUUUUAAAAUUGCUUAUAUCUUUUAGGAUAUUUGGUAUUUUUGAGUGAUUAUUUUNNNNNNNNNNNNNNNNNNNNNNNNNNNNNNNNNNNNNNNNNNNNNNNNNNNNNNNNNNNNNNNNNNNNNNNNNNNNNNNNNNNNNNNNNNNNNNNNNNNNCUAUGCAUCUAUGCAUUGUUAAAUGAAUGUUAACAAUUAUCACAUACCACUUUGUUAGAACAUCACUAAUUAGCAAGAUAUGUGUACAUACAAGUGACCAUAACAAGAAGAAGAUAUCCUUCACCACAAAUACACUUACUCACUAAGAAAUAUAUGGAUGAUGAAAAAAAAUAGGACAACGUACUCCUAUAUUUUUUGUAAUAUAUGUCUCUUAUUAAUUUGGUCAAAUUGACAACCUUGAUACACGUGUCAGACUUAUAAACUGAAACGGAGGAAGUACUUUUGCAUCAUCUCCCACAUGCAUGCAUCAUCCGAAUAUAAAUGUAGCUGUAAAUGUACACCAAUAAGGCAAGCUGAGAGUUUCUCAAGAGAGAGCGCAUUGUUACCUUGCAUGCCCUCUCUUCUCUUCUGGCCAAUGAAAACUCGUGCUCAGUUGGACGACAAGGCCACGAAUACUUGGCGGUCAAAAGCUUUCUUGGCGGUCAAUGGUCGUUGGUCAUCAGUCAAUGGUUCCCGCCGCGGCCGCGUGUCUACGUGCGUCAAGUCGGGCAACCAGGUCAUGCAAUGCAACAUACUCCCUCCAUUUCUAAGUAUAAGUUUUUUUUUAGNNNNNNNNNNNNNNNNNNNNNNNNNNNNNNNNNNNNNNNNNNNNNNNNNNNNNNNNNNNNNNNNNNNNNNNNNNNNNNNNNNNNNNNNNNNNNNNNNNNNUCUUGAAAUGGUUGAUGAUACCACGGUAGAUCCUGCAGUGAUCCCUUGUCCAAACAUGCUCGACAUUCUUGAUCAUAGCCCGCUCUUGGAGAUAGUGGUUUUGGUUGCGGAACCGCAGAAAAUCCUUAGGGGGCAUGGUGCGAAUGUUGAGCCCCUUGUCCUUGUGAGCGGUCUUCUUGAAGGCCUGCUUUUUGGGUUGCAGACCUGAAGUGGCGGAGCCCUCUGGAGCCUCUGGGUUGCGAUAAUGCUUUGACUGCACGCCCCGUGGGGGGUUCGAGCGGCGAGCACCACCUGUGACACAAAACACACACCGAAAAAGAGCGACAAAAGGAGUCAAGGCAAUGAACAAGAGAACGCAGAAAAGUAAACACACAUUGCCAAGCAAAUGAAAAGAAUACACAGAAAAUCCUCCUGGUGGUAAUACCGCUACCCCUGGCGGUAGUACCGCUGGGGUCCAAAUAAAAGCACAGAUUCAUAGGACCUACACUCCCCUUGAAUAUCUCCUUCAUGACAUCCAAGAACAAGGCACAAUAUCNNNNNNNNNNNNNNNNNNNNNNNNNNNNNNNNNNNNNNNNNNNNNNNNNNNNNNNNNNNNNNNNNNNNNNNNNNNNNNNNNNNNNNNNNNNNNNNNNNNNCUCCGUGUGAACGGAGAGGUAUCUCGGGGCCCACUCGGUAAUACAACAUCACACACAAGCCUUGCAAGCAAUGUAACUUAGUGUAAGUUGCGGGAUCUUGUAUUACGGAACGAGUAAAGAGACUUGCCGGUAAACGAGAUUGAAAUAGGUAUACGGAUACUGACGAUCGAAUCUCGGGCAAGUAACAUACCGAAGGACAAAGGGAAUGACAUACGGGAUUAUAUGAAUCCUUGGCACUGAGGUUCAAACGAUAAGAUCUUCGUAGAAUAUGUAGGAUCCAAUAUGGGCAUCCAGGUCCCGCUAUUGGAUAUUGACCGAGGAGUCUCUCGGGUCAUGUCUACAUAGUUCUCGAACCCGCAGGGUGUGCACACUUAAGGUUCGACGUUGUUUUAUGUGUAUUUGAGUUAUAUGGUUGGUUACCGAAUGUUGUUCGGAGUCCCGGAUGAGAUCACGGACGUCACGAGGGUUUCCGGAAUGGUCCGGAAACGAAGAUUGAUAUAUAGGAUGACCUCAUUUGAUUACCGGAAGGUUUUCGGAGUUACCGGGAAUGUACCGGGAAUGACGAAUGGGUUCCGGGAGUUCACCGGGGGGGCAACCCACCCCGGGGAAGCCCAUAGGCCUUGGGGGAGACACACCAGCCCUUAGUGGGCUGGUGGGACAGCCCACAAGUGCCCUAUGCGCCAAGGAGAAGAAAAUCAAGAGAGAAAGAAAAAAAAGGGGAGGAGGUGGGAAGGAAGGGGGACUCCCUCCCACCAAACCUAGUCCAACUCGGUUUGGGGGGAGAGUCCUCCCCCUUGGACUCGGCCGACCCCCUUGGGGCUCCUUGAGCCCCAAGGCAAGGCCCCCUCCCUCCCACCUAUAUAUACGGAGGUUUUAGGGCUGAUUUGAGACGACUUUUCCACGGCAGCCCGACCACAUACCUCCACGGUUUUUCCUCUAGAUCGCGUUUCUGCGGAGCUCGGGCGGAGCCCUGCUGAGACAAGGUCAUCACCAACCUCCGGAGCGCCGUCACGCUGCCGGAGAACUCUUCUACCUCUCCGUCUCUCUUGCUGGAUCAAGAAGGCCGAGAUCAUCGUCGAGCUGUACGUGUGCUGAACGCGGAGGUGCCGUCCGUUCGGUACUAGAUCGUGGGACUGAUCGCGGGAUUGUUUGCGGGGCGGAUCGAGGGACGUGAGGACGUUCCACUACAUCAACCGCGUUCUCUAACGCUUCUGCUGUACGGUCUACAAGGGUACGUAGAUCACUCAUCCCCUCUCGUAGAUGGACAUCACCAUGAUAGGUUUUCGUGCGCGUAGGAAAUUUUUUGUUUCCCAUGUGACGUUCCCCAACACUUUCAUCUACCACCAUCAUCGUCCAUCUUUCGCUUGCGGCGGCGGGGGGGGGGGUUGGGGGGAGGGCCGGCUGGUCCUAAUGAUAUAGACAUUAUGUCUAAUGAAUAUGAUAUUGUCUAUCGUCUAGCAUGGCCUUGGUUUAUAUAAUGUACCAUAGGCCUAGGAUAACAAGAGUCCUAGUCGACUACGUCGGUGUAGAGGAUUCCUUGUCUUGAUAACCAAGUCUUGUGGAAUCUUCCUCGUAUAUGUCAUCGGCUGCCCAAAGUAGCCCAACAGUUCGGCCCUUAGAGAUAUGCCGGAGGCCCAAGGACCCCUUAGUCCUGGACUCCCUCAGUAGCCCCCGAACUGGUCACCAAUUUCGUAGCCUUGAUCUUCAACAUCUUCACGCGUCCAAAGUCUUCGGGUUGCGGGGCGAGUUCUUCUCCCCAUUUAAGUUCGGCAAACACCAGUUCGGCUGACGAUGACUUCUCAAUUUCCAAGCAUAGGCCUUUAAGUUGGGGACGCUCCUCGAUUCUUCUGAACUGUUCUUCAUCUUCGGUUGUUAGUCUUGCAUACUGGUUCUACAAAUCUUCCCAUCACUGAUCUUGAGGAUCGUCGGGGUGAAUCCGACGAGUUCACACGUCAGGUAUCCGAGGAGUCCUUUUAAGUUAUCAGCCUUUAUUAAUGCCUUGUAUUUUUUCACGCCACACCUCGAGUUCGAAAUGUUUCUUGUGUAGCAGUGUCCUCUUGCGUCCGAAUUCCAAUGCCGAACUGCAUCCGAGGUGUCCUCUUGCGUCCGAGCUCCAACAUCGGACUGCAUUCGAGGUGUCAUAGAUUACCUCGGUCUGUGAAAAUUUGAAGGAAUUCAUUUGAGCUUAAAUGUCGGAAUAGUCUUUUAUGGGGCCAGCCAUUCGCAUGCGAACUAUAUGCCGGAUUGCUUCUGAGGUGGUGCGCCACCUCGAUCGUGGGCUGAUUUCGAUCGGUGCAAUUCAAUUACCGUCGAUAUAUAUAGCUAGUAGCCCUCAAUGUGCAGGUCGGCCUAAAAACUGACAUGCUCCUGAAGGAAAAAUAAAUCUGCUGAUCCGAGUAGCCCGUGGGACUCAGGUCGAUUCGCAAAAUCAGCGUGAGGAUCAAUUCAUUGCUCGGCAUACUUUAGGAGUUAAAACAUGGUGAGCAGCAGCCCCUGAGACUCGGGUUGGGUGUAGCCGACCAACCUGGGGAUCGAAUCUCCUCAGAAACCGUUUUGCACUUGUUGUGCACGUUUUAACAAUGCUGAGGUGCAGAUUGGUAGGAAAGAUGUCAAACUGUGGGUCGAAAAAGAUUUUCCGGAUGGCGUAAUUUAUUCUCUGACGAGCUAUAUAAUCAGUAGCCCCCAAGACUUGAGUUGGGAAACAUGGCCGACCCUAGGAUUAUAUCUCCUCGAAAACUAUUUCAUCCAUUAAAUGUGUUUUCACAACACCGAGGUUGAGCCCGGCACGGAAGAUGCCGAAUUAUAGGUCGGAAAAGAUUCUUCGAAAAGAAUAACCACGUAGAACACCUCAAACAAGAAAGAAAAACGUAAAAAUAGGUUAAAUGUGUCUAAAGCACGGAAAACAAAAAACUUUAGCAAAAACAUUACGUUUCGAACUAAAUCCAGUUUAUUGGCGCCAAUCCUAAAAUUGAUCUUAAAAUUAACAUGUGCUUCGGUCGUGCUUUAACAUGAUACAUCCGAUCUCUCAGACUUCAAGCGGGUCAGCCUUUGGCUUCAACCUCCAUAUCCCGAGGACGGAGUAUUUCUCGAGGCCUGUUUAGUGAAAUAAACUCAAGCGCAUUUAGAGAGACACUAGGAUACCCGGCUAUUGAGCAAACACUCGUGUCGAAAAAAGGAGUAGUAGAAAAAGACUUUGCAACGACAAAAAACCUUUAUUAUAAAACGGCUCAUAUAAAUUUUACGAACCCUGAGGUAACAUGCGUAAAGGAAGUGUUUUUAACAAAUAAUGUUCUUAAAAAGCUAAGUUUUUAACAAACAACUUAUUUGCUUAACACAAAUAUAAUGGCUGGUUGAACCGCACAGAAAUUAUAAAUUGAAAAAAGUUGAGCAUGAAAGCGACUUAGCUGGUUAAUGUGCUCGAUGUUGAUGACGAGGGCCGAGCUUGUGGAGGGUCAAGGUCACAGCCCCCAAGACAGUCACGAGGUAGCCGGCGAAGAGCUCGGCAUGAUGAAGUGACAACACAACACUUCGGAAGGGCCGUGGCGAAACGCCAGGUCCAACCAAGGAGACAGAGUAGUUCGGCAGUUUGACGGUGAAUUCCCCACGUUAGUCGACCAUGUCGACGAUGCAAUUCAUUUGACGGGGACAUGACGACAAUGUUGGCGUGUCAACGUGAUUAUCAAACACAGUCGGACCGAUCACCUGUGCACAUAAAAUAGUGGAAGCCAAAAAUAACGUCGUGUUGGGGAACGUCGCAUGGGAAACAAAAAAUUUCCUACGCGCACGAAGACCUAUCAUGGUGAUGUCCAUCUACGAGAGGGGAUGAGUGAUCUACGUACCCUUGUAGAUCGUACAGCAGAAGCGUUAGAGAACGCGGUUGAUGUAGUGGAACGUCCUCACGUCCCUCGAUCCGCCCCGCGAACAAUCCCGCGAUCAGUCCCACGAUCUAGUACCGAACGGACGGCACCUCCGCGUUCAGCACACGUACAGCUCGACGAUGAUCUCGGCCUUCUUGAUCCAGCAAGAGAGACGGAGAGGUAGAAGAGUUCUCCGGCAGCGUGACGGCGCUCCGAAGGUUGGUGAUGAUCUUGUCUCAGCAGGGCUCCGCCCGAGCUCCGCAGAAACGCGAUCUAGAGGAAAAACUAUGGAGGUAUGUGGUCGGGCAGCCGUGAGAAAGUCGUCUCAAAUCAGCCCUAAUUGCUCCAUAUAUAUAGGAGGAGGGAGGGGGACCUUGCCUUGGGGUCCAAGGGACACUCAAGGGGUCGGCCGAGCCAAGGGGGGAGGACUCCCCCCAAACCGAGUUGGACUUGGUUUGGUGGGAGGAGUCCCCCUCCCUUCCCACUUCCUCCCUCUUUUUUUUCUUUUCCUUUGAUUCUUUAUUCUUGGCGCAUAGGCCCCCUUGGGGCUGUCCCACCAGCCCACUAAGGGCUGGUGUGUCUCCCCAAAGCCUAUGGGCUUCCCCGGGGUGGGUUGCCCCCCCCCCCCGGUCGAACUCCCGGAACCCAUUCGUCAUUCCCGGUACAUUCCCGGUAACUCUGAAAACCUUCCGGUAAUCAAAUGAGGUCAUCCUAUAUAUCAAUCUUUGUUUCCGGACCAUUCCGGAAACCCUCGUGACAUCCUGAUCUCAUCCGGGACUCCGAACAACAUUCGGUAACCAACCAUAUAACUCAAAUACGCAUAAAACAACGUCGAACCUUAAGUGUGCAGACCCUGCGGGUUCGAGAACUAUGUAGACAUGACCCGAGAGACUCCUCGGUCAAUAUCCAAUAGCGGGACCUGGAUGCCCAUAUUGGAUCCUACAUAUUCUACAAAGAUCUUUAUCGUUUGAACCUCAGUGCCAAGGAUUCGUAUAAUCCCGUAUGUCAUUCCCUUUGUCCUUCGGUAUGUUACUUGCCCGAGAUUCGAUCAUCAGUAUCCGCAUACCUAUUUCAAUCUCGUUUACCGGCAAGUCUCUUUACUCGUUCCGUAAUACAAGAUCCCGCAACUUACACUAAGUUACAUUGCUUGCAAGGCUUGUGUGUGAUGUUGUAUUACCGAGUGGGCCCCGAGAUACCUCUCCGUCAUACGGAGUGACAAAUCCCAGUCUUGAUCCAUACUAACUCAACUAACACCUUCGGAGAUACCUGUAGAGCAUCUUUAUAGUCACCCAGUUACGUUGCGACGUUUGAUACACACAAAGCAUUCUCCGGUGUUAGUGAGUUAUAUGAUCACAUGGUCAUAGGAAUAAAUACUUGACACGCAGAAAACAGUAGCAACAAAAUGACACGAUCAAUAUGCUACGUCUAUUAGUUUGGGUCUAGUCCAUCACAUGAUUCUCCUAAUGAUGUGAUCCCGUUAUCAAGUGACAACACCUUGUUCAUAAUCAGAAGACACUGACUAUCUUUGAUCAACUGGCUAGCCAACUAGAGGCUUGCUAGGGACGGUGUUUUGUCUAUGUAUCCACACAUGUAAAUGAGUCUUCAUUCAAUACAAUUAUAGCAUGGAUAAUAAACGAUUAUCUUGAUACAGGAAUUAUAAUAAUAAUUAUAUUUAUUAUUGCCUCUAGGGCAUACACUAGAGUCAAUAAUCUAGCCUUCACAUCACGAUGUGAAUUACAUUGUAAUAAAUCUAACACCCAUACAGUUCUGGUGUUGAUCAUGCUUUGGCCGUGGAAGAGGUUUAGUUAGCGGGUCCGCUACAUUCAGAUCCGUGUGCACUUUGCAUAUAUUCACGUCCUCUCCCUCGACGUAGUCGCGGAUGAGGUUGAAGCGUCGUUUGAUGUGUCUGGUCUUCUUGUGAAACCGUGGUUCCUUUGCUAAGGCAAUGGCACCAGUGUUGUCACAAAACAAGGUUAUUGGAUUCAGUGCGCUUGGCACCACUCCAAGAUCCGUCAUGAACUGCUUCAUCCAGACACCCUCCUUAGCCGCCUCCGAGGCAGCCAUGUACUCCGCUUCACAUGUAGAAUCUGCUACGACGCUUUGCUUGGAAUUGCACCAGCUUACUGCACCCCCAUUAAGAAUAAAUACGUAUCCGGUUUGCGACUUAGAGUCGUCCGGAUCUGUGUCAAAGCUUGCAUCGACGUAACCUUUUACGGCGAGCUCUUCGUCACCUCCAUACACGAGAAACAUCUCCUUAGUCCUUUUCAGGUACUUCAGGAUAUUCUUGACCGCUAUCCAGUGAUCCAUUCCUGGAUUACUCUGGAACCUACCUGCCAUACUUAUGGCCAGGCUAACAUCCGGUCUAGUGCACAACAUCGCAUACAUGAUAGAACCUAUGGCUGAAGCAUAGGGGACGGAGCGCAUAUGCUCUCUAUCUUCAUCAGUUGCUGGGCACUGAGUCUUACUCAAUCUUGUACCUUGUAAAACUGGCAAGAACCCUUUCUUGGACUGUUCCAUUUUGAACCUUUUCAAAACUUUAUCAAGGUAUGUGCUUUGUGAAAGUCCUAUCAGGCGUUUUGAUCUAUCCCUAUAGAUCUUAAUGCCUAGAAUGUAAGCAACUUCUCCUAGGUCCUUCAUAGAGAAACUUUUAUUCAAGUAACCUUUUAUGCUCUCCAAAAGCUCUACGUUGUUUCCAAUCAGUAAUAUGUCAUCCACAUAUAAUAUUAGAAACGCCACAGAGCUCCCACUCACUUUCUUGUAAAUACAAGAUUCUCCAACCACUUGUACAAACCCAAAUGCUUUGAUCACCUCAUCAAAGCGUUUGUUCCAACUCCGAGAUGCUUGCACCAGUCCAUAAAUGGAUCGCUGGAGCUUGCACACCUUGUUAGCAUUCUUAGGAUCGACAAAACCUUCGGGUUGUAUCAUAUACAACUCUUCCUUAAGGAAACCGUUAAGGAACGCCGUUUUGACAUCCAUCUGCCAGAUUUCAUAAUCGAAAAAUGCAGCUAUUGCUAACAUGAUUCUGAUGGACUUAAGCAUCGCUACGGGUGAGAAAGUCUCAUCGUAGUCAACUCCUUGAACUUGUGAAAAACCCUUUGCCACAAGUCGAGCUUUAUAAACGGUCACAUUACCGUCAACGUCCGUCUUCCUCUUAAAGAUCCAUUUGUUCUGAAUGGCCUUGCGGCCCUCAGGCAGUACCUCCAAAGUCCACACUUUGUUCUCAUACAUGGAUCCUAUCUCAGACUUCAUGGCUUCCAGCCAUUUGUUGGAAUCUGGGCCCAUCAUUGCUUCUUCAUAAUUCGCAGGUUCAUUGUUGUCUAACAACAUCAUCGAUAAGACGGGAUUACCGUACCACUCUGGAGCAGCACGUGGUCAUGUCGACCUGCGCGGUUCGACAGAAACUUGAACUGGAGUUUCAUGAUCAUCAUCAUUAACUUCCUCCUCAACCGGCGUCGCAAUGACAGAGGUUUCCCCUUGCCCUGCGCCACCAUCCAGAGGGAUGAGAGGUUCGACAACCUCGUCAAGUUCUAUCUUCCUCCCACUCAAUUCUCUCGAGAGAAACUCCUUCUCGAGAAAAGCUCCGUUUUUAGCAACAAACACUUUGCCCUCGGAUUUGAGAUAGAAGGUGUACCCAACUGUCUCUUUUGGGUAACCUAUGAAGACGCACUUUUCUGCUUUGGGUUCCAGCUUUUCAGGCUGAAGCUUUUUGACAUAAGCAUCACAUCCCCAAACUUUAAGAAACGACACCUUUGGCCUCUUGCCAUACCACAGUUCGUAUGGUGUCGUCUCAACGGAUUUUGAUGGUGUCCUAUUUAAAGUGAAUGCAGCUGUUUCUAAUGCAUAGCCCCAAAAUGAUAACGACAAAUCAGUAAGAGACAUCAUAGAUCGCAGCAUCUCUAACAAAGUACGAUUACGAUGUUCGGACACACCAUUACGCUGUGGUGUUCCAGGCGGUGUCAACUGUGAAACAAUUCCACAUUUUCUUAAGUGAUCACCAAACUCGAAACUCAGAUAUUCACCCCCACGAUCAGACCGUAGGAACUUGAUCUUCUUGUUACGAUGAUUUUCCACUUCACUCUGAAAUUGCUUGAACUUUUCAAAUGUUUCAGACUUGUGCUUCAUCAAGUAGACAUAACCAUACCUACUCAAAUCGUCAGUGAAGGUGAGAAAAUAACGAUAUCCGCCGCGUGCCUCCACGCUCAUUGGACCACACACAUCGGUAUGUAUGAUUUCCAAUAAGUUACUUGCACGCUCCAUUGUUCCGGAGAACGGAGUCUUAGUCAUCUUGCCCAUGAGGCAUGGUUCGCACGUGUCAAGUGAAUCAAAGUCAAGUGACUCCAAAAGUCCAUCAACAUGGAGUUUCUUCAUGCGCUUUACACCAAUAUGACCCAAGCGGCAGUGCCACAAAAAUAUGGCGCUAUCAUUGUUUACUCUAACUCUUUUGGUCUCAAUGUUAUGUAUAUGCGUAUCGCUAUCAAGAUUCAAUAUGAACAAUCCUCUCACAUUCGGUGCAUGACCAUAAAAGAUGUUACUCAUAGAAAUAGAACAACCAUUAUUCUCUGACUUAAAAGAGUAACCGUCUCGCAAUAAACAAGAUCCAGAUAUAAUGUUCAUGCUCAAUGCAGGCACUAAAUAACAAUGAUUUAAGUUCAUCACUAAUCCCGACGGUAGCUGAAGUGACAUUGUGCCGACGGCGAUUGCAUCAACCUUGGAACCAUUUCCUACGCGCAUCGUCACUUCAUCUUUCGCCAGCCUUCGUCUAUUCCGCAGUUCCUGUUUCGAGUUGCAAAUAUGCGCAACAGAACCGGUAUCGAAUACCCAGGCACUACUACGAGAGCCGGUUAAGUACACAUCAAUAACAUGUAUAUCAAAUAUACCUGAUUUUUCUUUGCCCGCCUUCUUAUCUGCCAGAUACUUGGGGCAAUUGCGCUUCCAGUGACCCAUACCCUUGCAAUAGUAGCACUCCGUUUCAGGCUUAGGUCCAGCCUUGGGUUUCUUCGGCGGAUUGGCAACAGGCUUGCCGCUCUUCUUCGAAUUGCCCUUCUUGCCUUUGCCGUUUCUCUUGAAACUAGUGGUCUUAUUCACCAUCAACACUUGAUGCUCUUUACGGAGUUCAGACUCUGCGACUUUCAACAUCGCAAACAACUCGCCGGGAGACUUGUUCAUCCCUUGCAUGUUGUAGUUCAACACAAAGCCUUUGUAGCUUGGCGGCAGUGAUUGAAGGCUUCUGUCAGUGAUAGCUUCUUGCGGGAGUUCAAUCCCCAGCUCAGCUAGACGGUUUGAGUACCCAGACAUUUUGAGCACAUGUUCACAGACAGACGAGUUUUCCUCCAUCUUGCAAGCAUAGAAUUUAUCGGAGGUCUCAUACCUCUCGAUCCGGGCGUUCUUCUGAAAGAUAAACUCCAACUCCUGGAACAUCCCAAAUGCUCCAUGACGCUCAAAGCGACGUUGAAGUCCCGGUUCUAAGCCAUACAAGACUGCACAUUGAACUAUUGAGUAGUCCUCCUUACGUGCUAACCAAGCGUUCUUAACAUCCUGAUCAGCCGUAGCGGGUGGUUCAUCUCCUAGCGCAGCAUUAAGGACAUAAUCCUUCUUCCCAGAUUGUAAGAUUAGCUUAAGAUUACGAGCCCAGUCUACAAAGUUGCUUCCAUCAUCUUUCAACUUAGCUUUCUCUAGGAACGUAUUAAAAUUCAGGAUGACUGUCGCGUGAGCCAUGAUCUACAACACAAAUAUAUUCAAAGUGGACUUAGACUAUGUUCAAGAUAAUUAGAGUUCAACUUAAUCAAAUUAUAUGCUAAACUCCCACUCAAAAAGUACAUCUCUCUGGUCAUUUGAGUGGUUCAUGAUCCACUUACACUAUCCCAAGUCCGAUCAUCACGUGAGUUGAGUAUAGUUUCCGUGGUAAGCAUCCCUAUGCUAAUCAUAUCAACUAUAUGAUUCAUGAUCGACCUUUCGGUCUCAUGUGUUCCGAGGCCAUGUCUGCACAUGCUAGGCUCGUCAAGCUUAACCCGAGUGUUCCGCGUGCGCAACUGUUUUGCACCCGUUGUAUGUGAACGUUGAGUCUAUCACACCCGAUCAUCACGUGGUGUCUCGAAACGACGAACUGUAGCAACGGUGCACAGUCGGGGAGAACACAAUUUCGUCUUGAAAUUUUAGUGAGAGAUCACCUCAUAAUGCUACCGUCGUUCUAAGCAAAAUAAGGUGCAUAAAAGGAUUAACAUCACAUGCAAUUCAUAAGUGACAUGAUAUGGCCAUCAUCACGUGCUUCUUGANGUGUUCCGAGGCCAUGUCUGCACAUGCUAGGCUCGUCAAGCUUAACCCGAGUGUUCCGCGUGCGCAACUGUUUUGCACCCGUUGUAUGUGAACGUUGAGUCUAUCACACCCGAUCAUCACGUGGUGUCUCGAAACGACGAACUGUAGCAACGGUGCACAGUCGGGGAGAACACAAUUUCGUCUUGAAAUUUUAGUGAGAGAUCACCUCAUAAUGCUACCGUCGUUCUAAGCAAAAUAAGGUGCAUAAAAGGAUUAACAUCACAUGCAAUUCAUAAGUGACAUGAUAUGGCCAUCAUCACGUGCUUCUCGAUCUCCAUCACCAAAGCACCGGCACGAUCUUCUUGUCACCGGCGUCACACCAUGAUCUUCAUCAUCAUGAUCUCCAUCAACGUGUCGCCAUCGGGGUUGUCGUGCUACUCAUGCUAUUACUACUAAAGCUACGUCCUAGCAAUAUAGUAAACGCAUCUGCAAGCACAAACGUUAGUUUAAGGACAACCCUAUGGCUCCUGCCGGUUGUCGUACCAUCGACAUGCAAGUCGAUAUUAACUAUUACAACAUGAUCAUCUCAUACAUCCAAUAUAUCACAUCACAUCGUUGGCCAUAUCACAUCACAAGCAUACCCUGCAAAAACAAGUUAGACGUCCUCUAAUUUUGUUGUUGCAUGUUUUACGUGGUGACCAAGGGUAUCUAGUAGGAUCGCAUCUUACUUACGCAAACACCACAACAGAGAUAUAUGAGUUGCUAUUUAACCUCAUCCAAGGACCUCCUCGGUCAAAUCCGAUUCAACUAAAUUUGGAGAAACCGUCACUUGCCAGUCAUCUUUGAGCAAAGGGGGUUACUCGUAACGAUGAAACCAGUCUCUCGUAAGCGUACGAGUAAUGUCGGUCCAAGCUGCUUCAAUCCAACAAUACCGCGGAAUCAAGAAAAGACUAAGGAGGGCAGCAAAACGCACAUCACCGCCCACAAAAACUUUUGUGUUCUACUCGAGAAGACAUCUACGCAUGAACCUAGCUCAUGAUACCACNNNNNNNNNNNNNNNNNNNNNNNNNNNNNNNNNNNNNNNNNNNNNNNNNNNNNNNNNNNNNNNNNNNNNNNNNNNNNNNNNNNNNNNNNNNNNNNNNNNNUAUUUGGUGAUUCAGUCGUCGGUUUAUGUGCAUUUUCCAAACUGGUGCCUGAAAUCCUUCAAGCUGGGUCUAGCCCGUUUAGCUAUUUUUUGUUUUAUGUACUUAUUUAAGUUUCGUGAACUUUUUACAAAAUCUGUUAAAUUAAAAAACAAAUAUGAUCUUAUACGAAUUUCUGAACUUUUUACUGAAUUAUAUGAUAUUUUUCAAAAUUAAUGAACUUCUUUACAAUUGAUGGAUUUUACAAUUUUGUUUUACAAAAUCGAUGAACUUUCUAUCUAAAGUCGUCAAACUUUUUCAAAUUCGAUAUUUUUUUUCUAAAAUUAAUGUUUUUUUUAAGUUCAUGAACUUUUCAAAAAUUCAUAAUUAUUUCUCGAUUCAUUAAUUUUUGUCGUUUUCGGUGAUUUCUCUGUUUUCGUUCCAAUUUUAUUCCCCAAAUGUGUUCGCCUAGUCGCUUCCCUGACACCGAGUAGGAGUGGACCUCUUAUACAACGCAUUGUGAAUCAUACAGGAACCCGACGCAUGGGGGCGCACUAACUGGGCUGGCCCACACGGUGGAAGGUGGAAAAUGAUGAACGUGAAAGAGGGAGAAUUCAUGGGAUUGGAACCUAACACCACACGGUGCUGCUCGCAAAGCGCCUUUCCAGUUAUAGUGAUGAAACUACAAGUUACUAGAAGACCUAAAUACAUCUGCAAACAUAACAACUUAAACAAUCACGAACAAAUUCUAAAUGGAGCAAGAACUNNNNNNNNNNNNNNNNNNNNNNNNNNNNNNNNNNNNNNNNNNNNNNNNNNNNNNNNNNNNNNNNNNNNNNNNNNNNNNNNNNNNNNNNNNNNNNNNNNNNAAGCUAGUACCUAGCUCCUUAUUUAUCUCAGGUACCGCCAAUUUGAUGACGUGCCAAUAUAUUCCAGCUGCAAAUGGUAGCAAACAAAUUGUAGUACGUAUAUACCAUUAUUAAUUAAUAAAUCUAAGAUGCUAAGACCUGACCAGCGUGGACAGGAUAUAUGAUCAGUCACGGGACAGCAUGAAUACCACGGUUAUUUUGCGCAUUUUACCCCAAAAUUUGCAGCAAGCUUCGUAUAUACAGUUCUGCACAGUACACCGAUUCCAUGGGAAUAACUCCUAUUUUCGUCCAACGGUAUCCAUUAAGCAAAUUAGUACACCCGCCAAUUUUUUUGUCAAUGUUGUGUAAAUUUAGGAGAUGUCAUUCCUGGUGCAGGUUUGUAUCAUCAAACUAUAUAUAAAUAGGAAGCGUGUCCUUGCCUUUUAGAGGCAUUACAAGUCUGAAAAUAAUUUUGUAUUCCUAAGAGUAUGUAUUUCCAUUCCUCAUAUACGAUGAAUUGAGUAUAACUAUCUAUCAUUUCUAAUAUACUCCAUAAGUAAUUAGUAGAUACCAAUGGACAGAUCGUUCCGUCUACUAUCAUAUCACUUAGACUUCGUGAGCCAGCACAUGGAUCUCCUCCCUCCAUAUGCGACUCCGGUGCAGGUGGUUCAAGGGGAAUGCCGAUGCCUUCGCUCCGGCUAGUAGUUCAGGUUAUGNNNNNNNNNNNNNNNNNNNNNNNNNNNNNNNNNNNNNNNNNNNNNNNNNNNNNNNNNNNNNNNNNNNNNNNNNNNNNNNNNNNNNNNNNNNNNNNNNNNNUUAAAAAAAUUCUACCUUUUCGGGUCAAACAAAAUAAACAGGUGGGGCCUUUAGUCCCGGUUGAUAACAUGAACCGGGUCUUAAGGUCCUCCCUUCACACUCGCCGAAACAGCGCCAUGUGGAGCCCACUUUGUUAGUCCCUGUUUGUGAACCGAGACUAAUGGCCCAACUGAACUGAGGCUAUAGGCCCUUUUUCUACUAGUAGCAUAUUUCAUUUCUCAAAAGAAAGGAAGCUUUACUUUUGUGUGGUCAAUACUAGUAUUUGAUUUAUUUUGAAAUAAAGUAGUAGAAUUGGAUUUGACGACUUAACAAAGUGGGGACUCAGCUCCCUUGACAUACUGCAGGGUGCAGUUGGGUCACGGACAGGUGGGCCAACCUGCUUUCGAAGCCACAUGUCAAAGGCCCAACUGCAACCUGCAGUACGUCAAAGGGGCCUUUUCCACAAAGUGGAGAUAGUUCAACUAACUGAAUUAACUUUGUAUUAGGCGAGUGAGAGAGAAGAAGGUUCUUAGAAAGAGAGAGGCGAUUUUCAAGACCCGAAAGUCUACUAAGUUCUGUGGUUGUAUAAGUAUGACCAGGUGACCUUACGUCUCCGUGCAGUGUGGCAGAUGAAGAACUAUUUUUUAUGUAUGACAGAGUUUAUGAAGAGGAAAACCAUAUCUUCUAUGACAUUAAGCUUCCUAGGUUUAAGGAGGCUAUGUUCAAUUGAAGUCUUCAAUUAAAAUUGGAUUAUCUGAGUUUGGCCAGUUCAACAAUUUCUCAGGAAGUCUCAUAUUCAAUACUUCUAAAUCAUUAUGCUUAGUAAUUUUGGUGUUCUCCCAAUCAAGUGAGGUAUACAAUUUCAUUGUCAUGAUUUUGACUCGGUCAAUCCUUUGUUGUGUCCAUGAAAUCUCUAACUUCAUUAAGCUACUUAGUUUCGAAGCCCCCUCAUUCAAGUAAGGUCUUCAGUUUGGAUUGAAUACAUGAUUGGCUGGGUCAUCAAUUUGGGUUUCAUAGUGGGAUCUCUCGACGAGUGGGUCCCUUUGUAUGUGUCUGGCUAGUGUAUGAUUUCAUUGGCCAAAAGGAAGUAUUGUCUAUGACACCAUUACCACCAACAUAACAAAUGGGACUACCAACAUAGGUAACUUACUCACAUAUUAAUUAGAAGAUUCCCUCCAACCACAUGGUAAAAAAGACCUAAUCAAACACAAUGAUUAAAAAAAUGCUACACUCACAAACAAUUCGUACGGACUUUCCCACCAAUCACUUUCCUGAUUUUUAUCGGUGGGUCAUUCUUUCUCUAUUCUCCAACCAUAAGUUAAGACAUCCAUCCGUAACCAUAAUUAUACUUGCUCCGUUUCUAAAUAUAAGACCUUUUAGAGAUUUCACUAUAGACUAGAUACCUAGCAAAAGGAGUGAAUAUACGUCCUAAAAUAUGACUACAUACAUUCGUAUGUAGUUCAUAGUGGAAUCUCUAAAAUGUAUUAUAUUUAGGUACAGAGGGAGUAUAAAGUGUGUCUGUAGGUGUGGCAUUUUUAAUAACUCCAUUGUUUCACCCACAAGUCAAACCAACUAGCAAAAAAAUUAUCACGUAAAAAUACCCUGUAUAACCCCAAGAACUUAACCGGGGCAACAAAGCCCGCCCUUCCCUUCUACCCCCUCCGUUCCUAAAUAUAAGACCUUUUAGACAUUUCACUAUGAACUAGAUACGGAUGUACAUAGACAUAUUUUAGAGUGUAGAUUNNNNNNNNNNNNNNNNNNNNNNNNNNNNNNNNNNNNNNNNNNNNNNNNNNNNNNNNNNNNNNNNNNNNNNNNNNNNNNNNNNNNNNNNNNNNNNNNNNNNCAGUUGCCGCAUCAUCAUCGCAUCAUGCGCAUCAUCUGCAUUGCAUCGACAUCUCUGUUGCCGCCCGUUUUUCAAAACUUGCAUUCGUUAGUACUUGCCGGUUCACGCCGUUGUCCGUUCUGAGUCCGACCGCACACACACGCGCCCGCGGCACCGUCGAAACCCUGUUUUUAAAGUGCGUUUAAAACUUUCUCUGAUCGAGUUGAGAUUUGACGUGCGGUCGUGAUUAGUUAUAGCGAGGCCGCCCGUCGAAUUUCGUCGCGAUCGAAGACCGUCUGGUACCCGAACGGUCGCCCGUAGCGGCACCGUCUUCGGUUAUUCGUCGGACGUCUGUCGAUGUUUUUAAAUUCGUGCCGCUUCGCCCGUUCUCCCUCUCGUCUCCGUAUACCCCUCUACACGGCCGCGUACCCGUUCCCGCGUUCGGAAUUGUCCGAAUCCGACCCCGCGGUUGGAUCCGGAACAAAAUUCCGGUCAACCGAGCCCCCCGGUUUGCCUAUAUAUAGACCCCUUCUAAUUUUCGGACAGCCUCCCCCUAAACCUGCCUCGUUUUCCGCGCCCGAAACCCUAGCCGCGCCGCCCCACCUCUCUCUCCCCUGCCAGCGCCGCCGGGCCCGCCCAAGCCCACAGCAGGCCCGCCCUCGGCCCGAAUCGCGCCGCCGCUCCUCCCGAGCUCGCCCGGAGGCAGCAGAUCGACCAGGUCCCGCGGCCUCGCCCCGCCGUCGGGUGUGCCACCGCCGGCCGCCGCCGCCAUGGACCUUGCCAGAGAGCCGAGCCCGCGGCUCCUCGCCGCCUAACUGCCCAGUUCUCUGCCUGCAGCGCCGCCCCGAGGAAGGUCAACGUUGCUGCAACCCAUCGCGCCGCCGCCUGACCUUGCAGCCGCCGCCUCAAGCCUCGACGCGGCCGGGAAUGGACCCGAACCGGCCGGAUCUGGUGGGAACAGCCGGUUCCCCUAGACCGGCGCCCUCCCUCGUCGCUCCCUCGCCGAGGAUGCUGCCGGCCGCCAUGGGCGCCUCCCUCGAACGCCCGCACGGGAGGAGGAGGACGACCUCCAUCGUUCCUGGGCUGGCCACCGAUCGAGGCCCACCUCCCCUCGGCCCAGCUCGCCAGGCCCAGCUGGCUUCUCCGCUCUCCAGGCCGCGGCCCAACUCCCGCCGCCUCCAAGCCGGCCCGAGCCGACCAGUCCGGCUGCCCCUCUCUCCAGGCCGGCCCAAGUGGCCGAGGUGAGAGCCCUCACCCGUGUGCAUUUUAUUUUUAUGUAACGCCCAUGCGCUGUAGGCCCAUUUAGCAUCAGAUUCGGCCCGUGUAGGGUUUUUUUAUAUAUUCCUGUGUUUUUAUUCUUUUCAGAGUUUAGACUAGAUUUCAAACGCAUGUAUCUUUUGAUCCGUGAGUCGGAUCGCGUUGUUCUUUAUAUGCUUUUCGUGUAACUUUUCGCGUAGGACCCGUUUAUAAAACUUGCAUAAUUAUUUGAGCUAGUUUAACGCGCCAAAUGCCUAGUUUUACGUGCUGUCCAGAUAGGUUUGUUGCCCGUAGUUAUUUCCGCGCGUGUUUGAUUUGCCCGUAUGCCGUAGAUAAAAUGUCCAUGUGUUAGGGACCAUAUUUCUAUGUAUUCUAGAGGGGUCGAUUGUAUUUUUACAUGUAGGGGAUUGCCGGUAGUUGUUUUUCCCGUAUAUAGGUUAUUCUCCCGCUUUAUUGUGUGGCGUUAUUUUGUGUUGCAAACCUCACAUAUUAUAUAUGUUACCGGGGUAGAAAAAUCCCAGGGAUUUUUCUGUGCAAUUAGUUUCAGCUUUUGAGGGAGUUAGUUCGCGAGAUAUUUUGCCGUGAUGCCCUUUUGUUUAAUUCGUAGGAUUUAUUCCGUGCCUCGUUUGAAUUAGUUGUCAACUAGAGAGUUGAUCUCGGAUGUUUUGUUUAGCCCCUGGUAUUUUUGGUUGCAAUCGAAAUGCAUGUUUAGGUGUUGUUUGCUUGCUCUCAAGUUGCUUGAAUAGUGCUGUUUUAGAGGAGCUGAAAUAUUUCUAAGUCUGGAAUCUGUUAUUAUUUUGUUGCUGUCUUGUCUUGCUUGCAUCUUGUGAUCUGUAGCCCUUUGGAGGUUGGUCCAAUGGAGUUAGUUGUACCCCUUAGGUUUCUCUAGCAUGCUGUUAAGUUUCAUGUCAUUUGGAGUCCUGUAGAUAUAGGUUUUGUUGCUGUCAAUAUUGCUUCAGGCUGAAAACUGCACUUUCACGAGGUGUAAUUUUCACUAAGUCUNNNNNNNNNNNNNNNNNNNNNNNNNNNNNNNNNNNNNNNNNNNNNNNNNNNNNNNNNNNNNNNNNNNNNNNNNNNNNNNNNNNNNNNNNNNNNNNNNNNNCUUGCGGAGACAAAAGCUUGCGGUGGCGGAAAAGUACUUUCGAUGAUCUCCUUUUUUCUAGGAUUUUAGGUAAAUUUAUAGGCGAAAGUCCUAGGGCAGAGGUGGCCCAGGGAGGCUUGGGAGGCGCGGGGCCCCCUGGCCGCGGCUAGGGGGCUUGUGGGGUCCCUGCUGGCCCCCUGCCCUGAUUCUCAGGCUUCCCGAUCUUUUUCUGUUUCGGAAAAAAUCUUUUUGGCAGCUUCGUUCCGUUUGGACUCUGUUCAAAAUCCUCCUCUGAAAGGGGUCAAAAACAUGAAAAAACAGGAACUGGCACUUGGGAGUGAGUUAAUAAGUUAGUUCCAAAAAAUAUAAAAAAGGCAUGCAAAACAUCCAAAGUUUGACAAGAUAAUAACAUGAAACCAUAAAAAUUAUAGAUACGUUGGAGACGUAUGAGACAAAUGGGCAGACGAUUUGAAUGCGAUAGAUAAUCGUCUCGUACGACCAGUCCCGUUGCUCCGACAUUUAAAAGCGCGAAGAUUGAGAUGUGGCACAGGCAGCGUUCUCCGCUGGUUUGACGCUUCAAUGUCGGCACCAGUGAGAGGUCGCCUAGCUAUGGAUGGGCAUGAAUGCACAACAUGAAUGAAAGGCAACCGCUUUGCGCGGGAGAGGACGCAAGCACACAAUAGGKUUUUUAGUGGGACCCCGGGUGGCGACCGCAUGCCUGGCAGCGGUCUAAGAGCAACUCCAAUGCACCGACCCGUUCAUCCGCGCAUGUUCGUUNNNNNNNNNNNNNNNNNNNNNNNNNNNNNNNNNNNNNNNNNNNNNNNNNNNNNNNNNNNNNNNNNNNNNNNNNNNNNNNNNNNNNNNNNNNNNNNNNNNNCAAAUAAUUAUUAAAAUAAACAAAAAAAGUAAUAAUAAUAGUGAAUUUCAAUGAAAACAACCUGAUAUUUUAGUCGUUUUUGCCAUUUAUUCUUUUAAUAUGGUAUAAUUAAUAUCCUUAAAUAUGUAAAUCGAAAUUCAACAAAUAAUAUAUCCAUUAUUAUCACAAAAAAGUGAGGAAUCCAAAUAUGACAUCAUUUAAUUAUUUUUAAAUAAAAUUAUUCUUUCUUAUUUUUCUGGAAACAAACUUCUUUUUGAAAUAGUUUUUUUUACAUUUGGAAUUUUGAGCCUGUGACAAAACUUCACCCGGCAAUUUUUCUCUAGUUUUUGUUUAUAUAUUAAACCUUUUUUUACCUCGUAUGCAAAAGUUAUGGCCGUUUUACAUUUUAUUUAUUUUUUGCAAAAACGGUCAAAAUUCAUAUCUCAAAAUUUCUAUACCACCUAGACACUAAAACCUAACUACAUCUCAAAGGAUUUUAUUUUUUGAAGAUUUUAUCACUUUUGUUUAGUUUCUACAAAACUAAAGAAACGGUAUAAGGGGGGAUAUAGUUUGACAAUUUCAGAAUCCCUUUAGCCAAGAGUCCAAUCAUACUCGUCGACCACAUCUGCUAGCACUGUCCCCGCGAGAGUCACAAGUAAGGUUAACCAAGGCAGAGUUAACCCUUUCUAACUUCAUUUGCUAUUUUUCAUGCAUUUGAUGAUUAUUUUUUUAGCUAAAUGACCCUGAAAUUGAAAAGCACUAUAAUGAACUCUGAAAAUGUUGAAACUUGGCAUGGUAUCAUCAUUUCACCCACAUAGCUUGUGCUAAAAAGUUGAAAGGGCUACGGCAAAAACUGGAUGCACUUCGUGUACAAACUAGAUCAUCUCCUUCGUAGUAUCAAGGUUUCAGACAAAACCCAUCUGCUACAAAGGCAUUUCAUUUUUUUACUUAUUUCAACUCAAGACUUUUUGUGCAUUUGUGCAUUCAAUAUGCACCAUUGAAAACCACAUCCAAAAAUUUCAACCCUAUAUAACUUCAUUUGCUAUUUUUCAUUCAUUUAAUGAUUUUUUGACCUAAAUGACUCUGAAAUUGAAAAGCCCGACAAAUUAAAAAUAUUGGGGUUUGAAGAAAAUUUGAACAAAUUCAAACUUAAACCAUUCAAAUUUGAAAACUAAUGGCACAAACAAAAACUAGACAAAAUUUUGAAUCUAAUGCAAAAAUAAUCACUCAAAAAUACCAAAUAUCCUAAAAGAUAUAAGCAAUUUAAAAUAGAAACUACAAACAGAAAACAAAUUUAAAAACAAAAAAAAAAAUUAAACCCCUUUAAUCCCGGUUCGUGUCUCAAACCGGGACUAAAGGUCUAUCCUUUUGUCCCGGUUCGAGACAUGAACCGGGACUAAAGCCUCUAAACCUUUUAGUACCGGUUCGAGACACGAACCGGGACUAAAGGUCCCAUUUAAACGGGAACUGAUGCCUGACCAGCGUUCUUGCCGCUUGAAACGGGGCUAAUGCGAACAUUAGUCCCGGUUCGUAAUGGAACCGAGACUAAUGUAUAAAUCAAGUUGGGACGAAAGCCUUGUUUUCUACUAGUGGCUUCCCUCUUAUAUAUUGUUAAUUACGGUAACAUUUCACAAAUUUUGGCUCCACGGGUUCGGUAGACCUGCUGUAUCCCAGGCAGAAAAUUCUACAACUCAGUCCAUCAGUUGUCUGCGAGAUUUCUAACAAUUAGUUGCCUAUAAAAAGCUGACAAUCAAACUCAAUAAAAAAGGUGACGUUACAUGCAUACCUAUUCCUCAAUGACGACACCAGCCUUGACUUUCUUCGUACACGUGCAUAUCAAAUGAGAUAGUGUAUAUCUCCAUCUGUUUGUAUCGUCGUAUAGACGGUUAGCAUCUAAUUGUAUUACGCAGAAAAAAUAUAUGUGUGGAAAAGCAACAAUUAUCUCUAUCUCUAUAUACUACUUAACAAUAACAUAAGGUAUCUAUUCGAAAAAAAAAAAAAAAAAAAAAAAAAAACCAAAUAAGGUUUCAUCUUAUGUCAAUUUUUCUCUUCACCCUCCUAAUCCGUCAUCCCACCUCCACCAUUUUUUUCCAGUUUUCCACCCCCUUCUGGUUUUCAUCAAAUCAAUAUGUGAUAACUCAAUAAACCAGAUCAAUUUGUGGUAUAACAAUAAAUUCAACAUUGCAUAAAUAAAUUGUUAUUUGUGGUAAAAUAUGGUACUGGUUAGACAGCUUUGCUAACCCAAUAAAUAGCAGUUAAUCUCUAUCUUUGGUAAUGCAAUAAAGCAGAUCAUACAUGGGCGCAUACAUAUUUUGUGAGUUUAAGAAAUGGGAGGAAAAUAUGAAUUCCCCACGGAAAGUGCACGAUCACAUACCUAGUCAAAUAAAAUAAUUAGUAAGCCUAUUAUUUUUAUUUACGCGCGUGUGACACCCUUUUAAGGACCACAAAAAUGGUGUAUCAUGAGUCCGAAUGUUAUCCCAUUAGAGAAAAUGCAUCUCUGUGUGAACAAAAGUUUUGGCAUUUACGAUGGUUAAUUUAGUUUGGUGAUAAAAAAAUCCAUCCAAGCUUGGAUUGGGCUCAAUUAGUCGUCCUUGUGCAUCGGUAUAUAAUCCCUAACCAAGCGAAAGGAUCAUCUCCAAAAUACGAAAAACUCAAGUUAACAAGGGUUGAACGUGUCUUCUAGAUAAUUGAUUUUUUUUUUAUCUUAACCGUGCAAAAAUAAAUUUACACGUGGCAAGGCUGACUCACACUUAUGAAAUAGUCCAUGAACUAGAACUAAUUCUAGUUUUUCAUACUCUGUAUGAUAAUUUAUACAAACGAGUAUGUACCAAAAGUAUAUUGUUCAUAUAUACCUUCUAGCCAAUUUUACUGCUUUUACAUUAUGCCAAUUUUACUGUAGCCAGAAUGUUCUACUAGUUACAUGCAUCAAGUACAUUGGAUCAUAAAUCAAUACAUCAACAUCCAAGUUGCUAAAAUAAUAUCUAGCUCCCACUUGCUACACGGCAGAAAACCAAAAAUUUGGAGCUUUUGGAGGGUGCAAACAUGAAAAUAUCCACCAUCACUUCAAAUUAACCAAAAAUUGAUUAUGUCCAAGAACAUUAGUCCACUUCCGCACAUACGUGUAUACAUGUAGACGCACCCCUACAAAUCCAUAUCUACAAAUAUACGCCAUCACUUGUGUAGGACUACACACAUCCCACAGCUACCACCUCAUCAUCGUCUAGCCCUAGCUAGAGCAGCAACUCAUCUUAAUCUGUAAACACACAUACACACACAAAAAUACCUCUAUAUGUAGCUAACUUAGCUCAGCUAGUAUCGGUUACCCGCUAGCAUCACAGCCCACACAAGCGCACAUACACACACUCCAAAGAAAACACACGCGCCAAGAAAACAAAGAAAAUCAACAAGCCAUGGGGAUGGAAAUCCUGAGCUCCACGGUGGAGCACUGCUCCCAGUACUCUUCCAGCGCGUCCACGGCCACAACGGAGUCAGGCGCCGCCGGAAGAUCGACGACGGCUCUGAGCCUACCAGUUGCCAUCACCGACGAGUCCGUUACCUCGCGGUCGGCAUCGGCGCAGCCGGCGUCAUCACGGUUCAAGGGCGUGGUGCCGCAGCCCAACGGGCGGUGGGGCUCCCAGAUCUACGAGCGCCACGCUCGCGUCUGGCUCGGCACCUUCCCGGAUCAGGACUCGGCGGCGCGUGCCUACGACGUUGCCUCGCUCAGGUACCGGGGCCGCGAUGCCGCCACCAACUUCCCGUGCGCCGCUGCGGAAGCGGAGCUCGCCUUCCUGACCGCGCACUCCAAGGCCGAGAUCGUCGACAUGCUCCGGAAGCACACCUACGCCGACGAACUCCGCCAGGGCCUGCGGCGCGGCCGCGGCAUGGGUGCGCGCGCGCAGCCGACGCCGUCGUGGGCGCGGGUUCCCCUUUUCGAGAAGGCUGUGACCCCUAGCGAUGUCGGCAAGCUCAAUCGCCUGGUGGUGCCGAAGCAGCACGCCGAGAAGCACUUCCCCCUGAAGUGCACCGCAGAGACGACGACCACCACCGGCAACGGCGUGCUGCUAAACUUCGAGG
rnacentral:lncRNA from 1 species